AAGACCAGAUAUUUAUGAUCAUGUUUGGUGGGUGACCGUGUCUCAAGAUUUCAACAUUAAUAGGUUGCAGAAUUUUAUUGCUACACAACUUCAUCUAAACCUUUCAAGAGAAGAUGAUGAUCUGCAUAGAGCUGUCAAAUUGUCAGAAGAACUAAAGAGAAAACAAAAAUGGAUUCUUAUUUUAGAUGAUUUGUGGAACAAUUUUGAGCUUGAGGAAGUGGGAAUUCCUGAGAAGUUGAAAGGAUGCAAGCUGAUUAUGACAACUCGAUCAAAAACGGUAUGUCAUCAGAUGGCUUGCCACCGCAAAAUCAAGGUGAAGCUACUUUCGGAGAGAGAAGCUUGGACUUUGUUCAUGGAAAAACUUGGACGUGCAAUGGCACUUUUACCAGAAGUGGAAGGAAUUGCGAAAGCUGUUGCAAGGGAAUGUGCUGGUUUGCCAUUGGGAAUUAUUGCAGUGGCAGGAAGCUUGAGGGGAGUGGAUGACCCACAUGAGUGGAGAAAUACAUUGAACAAAUUGAGAGAAUCAGAAUUUAGGGACAUAGAUAAGAAAGUAUUCAAGUUAUUGAGGUUUAGUUAUGAUCGGUUAGGUGAUUUAGCACUACAACAAUGUCUCUUGUAUUGUGCAUUAUUUCCUGAAGAUGAUGAUAUUGAAAGGAAGGAGUUGAUAGGUUAUUUGAUCGAUGAGGGAAUAAUUAAAGGAAAGAGGAGCAGGGGAGAUGCAUUUGAUGAGGGCCACACGAUGCUUAAUAGACUUGAAUAUGUCUGCCUAUUGGAAAGUGCUCAAAUGGAUUAUGAUGAUAUUAGACGUGUCAAGAUGCAUGACUUGAUUAGGGACAUGGCCAUCCAAAUACUGCAAGACGAGUCUCAAGUCAUGGUGAAAGCAGGUGCGCAAUUAAAAGAGUUGCCAGAUGCAGAGGAGUGGACAGAGAAUCUCACUAGAGUCUCACUAAUGCAAAACCAAAUUAAAGAAAUUCCUUCCAGCUAUUCACCAAGGUGUCCCUAUCUAUCAACUCUAUUGCUAUGUCAAAAUCGUUGGUUGCGAUUCAUUGCAGAUUCAUUUUUCAAGCAAUUACAUGGGCUCAAGGUCCUCAAUCUGGCUGGCACAGGUAUUCAAAAUUUGCCAGACUCUGUCUCUGAUUUGGUGAGUCUCACUGCGUUAUUGCUUAAAGGGUGUGAGAACUUACGUCAUGUUCCAUCAUUCGAGAAGCUCGGGGAACUGAAGAGGUUGGAUCUCUCUCGUACUGCGCUUGAAAAGAUGCCGCAAGGAAUGGAAUGCCUAACCAACCUGAGGUAUCUUAGAAUGAAUGGAUGUGGUGAAAAGGAGUUUCCUAGUGGGAUAUUACCAAAACUCUCUCAGCUGCAAGUUUUUGUACUAGAAGAGCUUAAGGGGAUCAGUUAUGCUCCGAUAACAGUUAAAGGAAAGGAACUAGGAUCCUUGAGAAAUUUAGAAACUUUGGAAUGUCAUUUCGAAGGUCUCCCUGACUUCGUGGAGUAUCUCAGAUCUCGAGAUGGGAUUCAAUCAUUAAGCACAUAUAAAAUUUUAGUAGGAGAGGUGCUUAGAUGUAUAGAGCAAUUGAUUGGAGAUUUUCCAAGUAAAACAGUUGGGGUGGGUAAUUUGAGUAUCCACAGAGAUGGAGAUUUUCAGGUCAAGUUCUUAAAUGGCAUUCAAGGACUGCAUUGUGAAUGCAUCGAUGCAAGAAGUUUAUGUGAUGUUUUGUCAUUAGAGAAUGCAACUGAACUGGAGCGCAUCAGAAUUGGGAAAUGCGAUAGCAUGGAGAGCUUGGUUUCAUCUUCUUGGUUAUGCUCUGCUCCACCACCUGGUAUGUUUUCUGGUCUUAAGAAGUUUUAUUGUUAUGGAUGUAACAGUAUGAAGAAGCUGUUCCCGCUUGUGCUGCUGCCAAACCUCGUAAACCUGGAAAGGAUUUAUGUUAGUGAAUGUGAGAAAAUGGAGGAGAUAAUAGGAACAACAGAUGAAGAAAGCAGCACCUCCAAUUCCAUCACGGAAGUCAUUCUCCCAAAGUUAAGAACUCUGAGAUUGGAAUGGUUACCACAACUGAAAAGCAUUUGCAGUGCAAAACUGAUUCGCAAUUCUCUUAAACAAAUUACUGUAAUGCAUUGUGAGAAGUUGAAGAGGAUGCCAAUUUGUCUUCCGUUGCUUGAAAAUGGCCAGCCAUCUCCUCCCCCUUCUCUUAAAAAAAUCAAGGCAUAUCCAAAAGAAUGGUGGGAGACAGUAGUGGAGUGGGAGCAUCCUAAUGCAAAGGAUGUCCUUCGUUCGUUAGUAAAGUUUUGGUAGGAGGAGACUCCUCUGCCCUUAAUAUAAUAUAAAAUAAUAUAGAAUAGAGGGUAAGCAUCAUCUCUCUCAAUCGAAUUGUAGCUUUCGUAUUGUUAAUCCUUUCGUUGUUAGAAUACUUCUUUGUUGCAUCAUUUAUCAAUUCUAUCCUUCUGUAAGAAUACUAAUCGAUUGUAACCUUAAAUUUGCUCAUAUUCAAUAAUAUAUCAUUCUUUCAAUCAUUUUUGUUAAAAAUCAUGUGCAAAACAUAAUUAUUUUCGAUAUGAAUGUGAAAGUAUGAAGAAGCUGUUCCGCUUGUGCUGCUGCCAAACCUCGUAAACCUGGAAAGGAUUGAAGUGAGUUGCUGUAAGAAAAUGGAGGAGAUAAUAGGAACAACAGAUGAAGAAAGCAGCACCUACAAUUCCAUCAUGGAAUUAAUACUCCCAAAGUUAAGAUCUCUGAGAUUGUAUGAAUUACCAGAACUGAAAAGCAUUUGCAGUGCAAAACUGACUUUCAAUUCUCUUAAAGAUAUUGAUGUAAUGGAUUGUGAGAAGCUGAAGAGGAUGCCAAUUUGUCUUCCGUUGCUUGAAAAUAGCCAGCCAUCUCUUCUCCCUUCUCUUAAAUACAAACGAGCAUAUCCAGUAGAAUGGUGGGAGACAGUAGUGGAGUGGGAGCAUCCUAAUACAAAGGAUGUCCUUCGUCCCUAUGUAAAGUUUGGGUAGGAGGAGACUACUCUGCCCUUAAUAUAAUAUAAUAUAGAAUAGAGGGUAUUGCUAAUCCUUUCGUAUUGCUAAUCCUUUCGUUGUUAGAAUACUUCUUUGUUGCAUCAUUUAUCAUUUCUAUCCUAAUAUAUGCAAAGGACCUUUUUGUCUCGAAAUAAUUAAUAUGUAGAAUGGUUAAUUACUCCGUUAAAUGUAAUAAUACGUAUCCUUCUUUUAUUAUAGGCUGGUUUAGAAUUCAGCUAAGACAUCUAAUAAAAUAUUUUUAUUCUUAGAAAUUUUGUGAAGAACAAUCAGAAAACUAAUUUAAUUAGGGAUUAAUUGAGUAAUUAAUUACCUUACAGAGGAUUUUCUUUUCCUUUAUUUUAUUUCUAGUAACAGCUAAUUUAAUAAAACCCCAAUAGCCUGAUUCUUGGAUCACAGAAGCUUGAGACAUGGCACAUGCUACCAGGAAAAAAGCAUGAUUUUGUUGAAAACCUUUAAGAUUGGACUGUCGCAUUCUAACAAUAAUGUUUGGACCAUUUAAAGAUUGGACCCAACUUCACUUCAACUUUAUUUUAUAUUUAUAAUAAAUAAAAAGCAUGAUUGUGUUGAAAAUCUUUUUUCUGUUUUUAUUUUUCAAUUUUUGAAAUGACUCCUCAAAAAACAAUUCCAACCAAUUAUUUGCCCUGGAAUUUGGAGGAUGUAUAAUUCCAAGUGGGCAAGCUGCAUUUCUUAGCCAGGUGGAGCAAGAAUUGAGGUUGCUUAUUUCUGGCUUUUGCUUCUCUGGGUAUGAUUUAUUGGGCUAGUUUAUAGGAUUUUUGUCCUUUCUGCUAAUUUUAUAUUAACUUUUUUAAUUUUUAAUUUAAUUAUUUUUUUUAUAUUUUCAAAUUGUUUUAAUGUUUUGAUAUUAAAAAUAAUUUUAAAAAAUAAUAAUAAAAUAUUAUUUUGAUGUAUUGCCAAAUAAAAAAUAUUUUGAAAAAUAAUUGAUACUGCACUCUCAAACACCCUUAAAUGCUCUAUUAUUAAAAUAAAAUGCUAAAAUAUGAAUAGAAAUAUUAGAAAUUAAUGUGAAUUUUUGAAUUGAAUUUCUAUUUACUUUGAUAUACUCUUGAACAGGUCUUUAUGUUUGAUUUCAGAGUUUAUAGAAGAGCAAGUCAAUGCCCAAUCAAGUUCAAAGGAGUCGUGAAAUUCACUUGAAACCAGCCUGGAUACACUUAAGUAUUUUAAUCACAACUUUCCACUCACAUAUCAUAUUCCUGUGAUUCUUGACGCGUUGGAAAGGUAUCUUACAGGGCUACAAAUUAGUCUCUAAUGAGGAUUUCGAAAGAAGAACUCCUAAAGCAUGUACGUGGCUGCCUAAGAAAUCCUAUAAUUUUGGUUUUUGAUGAAAAAGGAGGGCCUCCUUUAGAAAAAGGGGUAUUUGUUGGCAAUUGCGCCAGAGAAAAAAAGAAAAAAAAAAGAAAAAGGAGAACAGGCAAGGAAAGGAAUGGCUAAUUAAUACAGUGAUGGGUAGCCAAAUUGUUCAGAUUUCCAAUUAUUCCAACUCUCUUGUUUUAUCAUUCUCAAAGUCCAAACAACAACGGUACUGCCAAGAUUGUUAUGCCUGCAAUCAAAAUAUAAUUUAUUUUUGUACUCAGAAUUAUGUUUGAUUGCAUUUAAAAAUCUGUUUAUUUAAAAAAAAUAUUAAAUUAAUAUUUUUUUAUAUAUUAAUAUUAAAAAUAAAAAAAUAUUUUGAUGCAUUUCUUAGUUAGGGGAGCAAAAAUUGAGCUAGCUUGCUUCUGGCUUUUGAUUUUCUGGGUAUGAUUUGUUUGGCUAGUUUAUAGGACUUUUGCACUAGGGUUUUUGUCUAAUUUAUCUAUAUAUAGGAUUUAGAAUCUUGAUGAAUGAAACUAGCAUUCUCGAUUUCUUGGGAUAGAAAGAGCAGAAUUAUUAUUAAAAUUAAAAAAGAAAAAACUAAAUAAGAUAUUGAUUGGGUGGAAUUUAAUCGGUCAAUCAAACCAAUCUAGUUCAUAUCUAAUUGGAUUAUUAAAAAAAAUGAAAUGAUAUUAUUUUAAUAAAAUAAUUAAUCUGAAUUAACUUAAUAAAUAAUUCAUAAGUUAUGAUAUUAUAUUAAAAAUAUUAUCUUAAACCAAAUAAAUUAAGUAACUUAAAAAUGUUGUAAUGUAAUUUUGAUAAUUUAGUAAGGAUUUGGAGAAUAUAUAUUUAAAAACAAACUUUGUCAUAAGAUUAAGUUAUUCCAACAAUCCCAGUCAAUUAAAACCUGUUUGUUAAGGUGGUAAACCAUAACAAAAACAACCAUUUUUAUUAUUUUAUUGGCAAAAUGCAGGUAGAACAGCAGUGCAUCAUGUUGCCCAAAAAAACACAAAUUUUGAAUUUUAUUUUUAAUUAUUUUUGAAAACUGGAAAAGCAGGUAAACUGUGACUAAAAUAGGGUAUGAUAUUAUGGUAGUAAUUGUUUUUUAAAAUAUUUUUAUUUAAAAAUAUAUUAAAAUAAUAAUUUUUUUUAUUUUUAAAAUUUAUUUUUAGCAUUAACACGUGAAAAUAAUAAAAAAAUAAAUAAUAAAAAAUCAAGUUAUUUUAAAAACAUGGUUCAACUGUAUUAUUAUUAUUAUUAUUAUUAUUAUUAUUAUUAUUAUUGACAGGGGUUUGGUCGUUCCAGGGAGGGCCGGAAAAGUCACGGGAUGAAGAGUUGUUGAUAACCAUUAACUAAUAACAGGGCUAAGAUGAGUGAGGCUAAUCAAAAGCCUGUAAAAGUGUAUCAAGUGACUGUUUGCUACUAAUAUAUAUAUAUAUAUAUAUAUUUUUAGUUUAACAUGAGUGUCCGGUCAGCUUGCACGCACCUCGACUAAUCUUAUGAGCCCUGAAGUUAACGACUAUGUAAGCCUCCAGUGGCCAUCAUAUGAGCAACUACAGGGCUCGAACCUGAGACCAUAUAGGGAGCAAACUUUUUGGUCCCAAGCUUUUAUCACUAGACCACCACCUAGAUGGUUAAUAUUUUUGAAUUGUUGUGAGGUGGUAAUAUAAAAAAAAUUAAAAAUAUUAUUUUAAUAUAUUUUUAAAUAAAAAAUAUUUUUUUAAAAGAAACUUGAAAUAUGCUAUUCUUUCUCGUAUUUAUGUGUUUACAUUUUCUUGGCAGCUUUUUCAACGUUUGAACAUUGGGUGGGUCCACAGACUCCACACGUUAGCUUUCUAUAUCUUAUAAUAUAGUUUAUAGGUAUUCUAUAUCUUAUAAUAUAGUUUAUAGGAUUUAUAAUCUUGAUGAAUGAAACAAGCAUUCUCGAUUUCUUGGGAUAGAAAGAAAGUUGGAAUAACUUAUAUUUGGAUUUUUCUUAGGGUUGAAUUUCUUGCUCCAUCUGUGUUGCAUCCAAAAUUAUUAUUAUUUGUGCUUUGUGUGUGUGUGUGUGUGUGUGUGUAUUCUUUAAGUUAUGUAUAUAUAUAUAUAUAUUCUUUAAGUUAUGUAACGUCAUUGUUAUUGUAGGAACAUUACUAUUAUUUAAGUAUUAUCGAAGUCCUACACUUUGGUCCCAAUUUACUAAAUAUUGUCUCCAGACUAAUUAAACUUUAUUUACAUGUGAUCAAAUUUAUAAAAAUACUUUGUUAUAUGAUUGAUUUAUGAGUUUGAUAAAUUAACCUAAGCUGAUAUAAAUAAAUUCAAUAUAGUUUCCUUGCAAGAAUUUUGAAUUAUCUUUAAAAAAAAAUUAAAACAAUAUUGUUUAGGAAAAAUCAAUUAAUUAAUAAUAAAAUAAUAAAAUCAAUAAAAUCGAUAGUGUCAUGGGUUGAUUUUAUUAGUUUAAGUCAACAUUAAUAAAACAAAAGAUUUGAAAGUUAAUUAAUUAUUAAAUAACAUGUUAAUGGUUAGAUUACAGUUUCUUCUUUACAAAUAACCAGGGGGGAAAUUAAUAUAAAAAACAAAUUUUCAUUUUCAUUUUUUAAAUAAAUUAGGUAGGAUUUGAGUUUUUUUUAAGUAAUUAUAUCUUUAUUAGCUUAAACAAAGAUACUUAUUAAAAGGACAGAUUAGAAAAGGGAAAUUUAAGAGUAAUUAAACUUGUAAAAGCAUGUUGAAGACCAUAUCUAAAAUAUAAGGACUAAUGGAGAAAAUUCUUCAAGGAAAAAGGACUACUUUCUUAUGGGAUUGUGGGGGAGUUUCUCGGAAUUGAAAUGGUCAAGGAUGUAGAGAAGUGUCAUCAUUCCCAUCGCUGUUAUCGCCAACGAUCGGGUGUGUUUGGUUUUGAGGUGUGGUGACUUUUUGUCAAAGGUACAAUACUUUUUAAGCACAAACUACAUCUUUAAAAGCUAUAAAAACAUACUUUUUACUCAAAAAAAGCACAAGUUAUCUCAUAUUCAAACACCCUCGAAGAGUCCAAAUUAAUCCUGGCCUGUUAUGGAAAGUCGUCGGAGGGCAACUCAUUUUCCUAAAGAAUUGUUUGGCAAAGUGUGCACUUGCAUAAAGGAAUGGUUAAGGCUCUCUUGAAAAUUUAGAGGUCUAUAAUUAAAAGUAACGAGAUUAGGAUGUUUGUAGUAGUGGUUAGGUUUAAAAUGUUUUUGUUUAAAAAUAUAUGAAAAUAAUAUUUUUUUUUUAAUUUUUAAAAAAUUAUUUUUGACAUCAAUACAUCAAAAUGAUUUAAAAACAUAAAAAAAUUAAUUUUAAAUAAAAAAAUUAAAUUUUAAGGGAACGCGAUUUGCACUAUGUUUCCAAACAUGUUUUAGGUCAGAGUUGGAUUUUGCUUCACUGAUCUUCAACUCUGAAUAUUGAAAUUUAUUAUUCACUUGUAUAAUAUUAAUAAAUCUAUUUAAUAAAAAAAAUUAUUUGAACCACAUUUUGUACCCAUUCAAUUUUUUUAACACUAAAAAAUCAACAUGUAGGUGUUGUUAAAAUAUUUUUUAAUAUUGAGAAAAAAUAUAACUAUAGAUAAAAAAAUCAAUACUUGUAUACAAUAAAAUACAACGAGGAUUAUUGCCUGUCAUUCACUAUGAUCUAGGUCAUGAGAUCAUAAUAAUCUUGUAAAAAACAAAUCAAAACAAAUUAAUCAUACAAAACAAACACGAAACAUAUGAUGGAGAUCAAUCUAAAAUAAACCAAAUGCUUUAAAAAACAUUAAAAAUGAAUUUUUAUUUUAAAAAAAUGUAAACGACAACAUAAUAAAUAGACAUGAGCUUUGUGGCUAAACCCACCAAACCUGUGACUUUGUAAAAAGCAAAUUAGAACAAAUUAAUCGUACAAAACAAACACGAAACAUACGAUGGAGAUCAAUCUAAAAUAAACCAAAUGCUUUAAAAAACAUUAAAAAUGAUUUAUUUUAAAAAAUAUGUAAACGACAACAUAAUAGAUCGACAUGAGCUUUGUGGCUAAACUCAUCAAACCUGCAACUUUGUAAAAAGCAAAUCAGAAUAAAUUAAUCAUACAAAACAAACACGAAACAUAUCAUGGAGAUCAAUCUAAAAUAAACCAUAUGCUUUAAAAAACAUUAAAAAUUAAUUUUUUUAAUAUGUAAACGACAACAUAAUAGAUCGACAUGAGCUUUGUGGCUAUACCUACCAAACCUGCAACUUGAAUCAUGGACUUCAUUGGGUUUAAUAACAAUGUUAUUUUAAUUUUUUUUCUCUAAACAUAUAAUAAAAACUUUGAAAAAAAAGAAAAAUUAAGUGAAUUUUUUAUAGAAAGACCAAGCCUAAGAAGCCUAACAAGAAUGAGCCAUUAAAAAACCAAGCCCAAACACGCGAGCCACUCAUCCCAGGCCCGUGCACCCGGGCCUCUUUAUUUUUUCAAAAUAUGUAAGGGGAAGACCCCUUUUUUUGAAAAGAAAUUAAAUCUGUUGACAACUACUAUCAAGCUUCUCUCAUUGAACGAAUCUCGUUGACACCAAGUUCAAUCUUUUACGUGGCUAGAAUAGGUGUCAAUCUUGAUUUUUUCUUUCUUAAGCCGGAAUCUAGUGGCUCCCUCUCUCUCUUAAAUGCAUAAUCAAGAAAAUAGAAGGACCAAAGUCAACUUUUUUCACCAUCCAUUCUCUCUGUUUUUUUCACUAUCUUUUGAUUUUAUACUCGAUUACCAAUUUUACUUAAAUUGAUACUCAAUUUAAUUGAGAAAGGGCGGAAUUUAAAACAACCUAAGUAUUGGAACGGAAAAAAAAAACAAUUAGCUCAUGAUGUUGGAUUUUAAAAGAAAAUUCCGAUUCCGAAAAUUCCGAAUCCGAGAUACUUUGAAAGAGAGGAAAAUAAUUGAUGUUCGGAGCUUUAAAGUGUAUGCCAUGUAAAAUUAUAUAACAGAUCAUUUUUCAGUAGGUUCUAAGUUUCAUUCCAGUGCAUGUCAAGCAGAUUAUGUUGUGCAUAGUUUUAUAUAGAAGGGUUCAGUUGUUUUGUUUUAUACAUCUGGUUGGUUUGUGGUCGCUUGCUGCACCCUUUCCCCUUUGGAAAAUGGAAGCAGAAACUUUCAGCAUUCGGGGGCCACAGAGUUUAGCUACUAGCUAGCUAACUUUAAUUCCGUUUCCGACAUGAUUAAAGUUAUGGAACAUGAUCCAUCAUCACCUCAUUCGUUUGUUAGGUUGGAAUCCUUAAACUGUUUUUGCCACAGUUCUUCGACUAGGUUCAGGAAUUCAUUUUACCAAAAAGGGAUAGAUUUUUGUAUCAUUCGUGGAUAUAUAGUAAAAAUUCCUUUUGAUGUUAAGAACAUCAUCGUAACAAAAACCUUAACUAGUAGGAAAAACACACAGCAAAUACAACUCGACUCAAAAAUUCAUCAAUCAUGAUGUUACCAUGUCAUAAUUAAUUUGAGAUAAAUAAUAUGUAUGGACUUUACAAAUAGGUAUUAUCAUCUACAAUACUAUAAUUCUCAUUAGCAAUUUUUUUUGUACAUAUUCAAGGCUUUCUACUAGAAUUCUUAUUAGGAAAAACUUGUCUAGAUAUUCAAGGUAGUUGUGGUUUUAUUUCAAUGGAGUUAAUAUCAUUACAAAAGUAAUUAGUAUGUUUGGCAUUAAAACAUAUUUUUUGGCAGUAAUUAUUCCAAAAAAUACCAUUAAUUUCCCAAAAAAACCGCUCAUGCGCAAGAAAAGCUAAUGAUAAGAUACUGAACAUCAUGAAUAUUUUUAGCAUUAGGGUAGCCAUUCCACCCAUUUUAUCAAGAUAAACAAGAUGUAUUCCAUCAUAACUUGUUCCUGACAAGACAAAAAGUGUAGUGGCAAUAAAUCUAUGAGAUAUUAUUUAUAAAAUGGCCUCGUUGAGUCCCAUAUCGCUUAUAGAGUAAAUUCUUAUAAUUGUAAAACUCAUAUGAGAUAUAGAAGAAUAGACUAUUCCUUUUUUUAAAAAAAAAUUAUCAGAAGAUGGUUAAGCUGCAUGGAUUAUUUGUAUUGCGCCUACUAUUAUCAACCAAGAAGAAAAUAUAGAAUGGGCGUCGGAUAAUAAUUUCAUAUUUAUUUGAACCAAUCCAUAUGCUCCCAUUUUAAAUAAGAUUCCAGCUAAAAGCAUACAAGUAUUGUAAUGUGCUUCUCCAUGGAUGUCUGAUAACCAUGUGUGUAUAUGUAAGGGUAUAAUCGGUGAUUGAUUAACUGAUAUUUCAAAAUUGAUUGUUGGUUUAUUGGAAGCAUUGAAAGUGAUACCUAAGGCCCCCAUUAAUAAAAAAACAGAAUUUCCUGCAAUAUACAAAAUAAAUUUUGUAGUUAAAUGCAUAAGACAUUAAAAAGAGUUCUAGUAAAAAUAAAAAAAUUAAUCCAUUUAUAAGACUCUGUCAAUUGGAUUAAGGGAUCGUCCUAUUGAAAAUAAUAAGAGAAUGCAUAGGUCAUUAGUACACAUAUAAAUAUACCACUAAAUUACCUUAUUUCCUCUAAGUGGGAAAACAAAAAUCAAGAAAUAUGUGGAUAUCGGUAAACCUACAAAUAUUGUUAACCAAAGAAAAUAAUUUGUGGUAAAGACAAGAUACACUUGACAAGAAAAACUCGUACUAAAAACCCUAAUUUAUUUUUUAUUUUUAUUUUCAAGUACGGGUUUUUGUCGGUAAACAAAAUAUCAAAUGUAUUCAAGUGAUUUUUUCUGGAAAGUAUUAAUAAAAUAGACCUAUGCUUUGAGUUUUUUCAUGCCAUAGAUAAACUCGAAUACUUAAGAAAUUUAUUGGACAGGCGGAUUCACAUCUCUUAUAGCCAACACAGUCUUCUGUUCUUGGAGCAGAAGUAAUUUGCUUAGCUAUACACCCGUCCCCAGGUAUCAUUUCUAAUACAUCCAUGGGGCAGGCCUGGACACAUUGAAUACACCUUAUACAUGUAUCAUAGAUUUUUACUGAAUGUGACAUUGGAACUAUAAUUUCUUUUUAACAUCAUAAUUUUUUGAUUUAGUAAAUUUUUAAAUAAAUCAUAUAUUUAAACACCAAAUAAAUCAAUGAUUUUUAUAAUUUUUCUAUUCAAUUUCGGAUAAACUCAUGAGAUAGAAUCAAGAUACUUUAAUUUCUUAUGUUUUUGUAAACAUUAUCAAAUAUGCUAUGUAUUAUAGAUGUGAAUUCAAAUUAAUUAAUCUAAAUAUUUUAUAUGAUUAAUACUACUUAUUCAACAAAUUCAAUUAAUUGAUACAGAUUGAUUUUCUGUUACGAUAAAUUGACAAAACUAUAGCCAGUCCAAUAGCUAUUUCAGCAGCUGCAAUAAAUAUAACAAAAAUUGAUAAAAUAUUUCCUUUUAAUUGUCGACUAUCAAAAAAAAUUAGAAAAUAAUUCCUCUUUCUUGUGUUAGGUUGGAGUCCUUAAACUGUUUUUGCCACGGUUUUUCGACUAGGUUCUGGAAUUCAUUUUUAAAAAAAGUAUAGAUUUUUGUAUAAUUGGUGGAUAUAUAGUAAAAAUUCCAAGUGGAUUUAAACUGUUUUUGAAAUGGUUCUUCGAAAAACAACUCAAACCAAUUAAUUAUUUACCCUGGAAUUUGGAUGAUUUAUAAUUCCAGGUGGGCAUGCUGCAUUUCUUAGCCAGGUGGAGCAAAAAUUGAGCUAGCUUGUCUCUGGCUUUUGCUUCUCUGGGUAUGAUUUGUUGGGCUAGUUUAUAGGCCUUUUGCACUAGGGUUGCAGUCCUUCUUUCUAAUUUAUCAAAUAUGGGCUUUAGAAUCUUGUUUAACGAAAUUAGCGUUCUUGAUUUCUUGGGGUAGAAAGAACAGAACUAUUUUUAAAAUUAAAAUUAAAAAAAUAAAUAAAUAUGCUCAGACUUCUAAUCAUGUAUCAAGAGAGAAAAUUAGUGUUUUAUCUCAGUUAUUUCAAAGCCUUAGAUGCAUUUUUUAAUUUCAGUCAUUGAUUGUUUUGUUUUCAAUUUUAUCUUCAUAGAUUGUGCUGACUGCUAUGGAGUUUUAACUCUGAUGCAGCAAUUUGCUGUGUUGAACUGAGUUCUGUAUUUCCCAAUUAGCAGCGUGCAAUAAACAGUAUUUAGCUUUUUCACUAAUGAGAGGCACACCAAGAUAUAAACCCAACUGGAACUUACAGAUGCUCUAUAAUUUCUAAGCCAUAUCCAUGUCAUAGAGGCAAAUAAGCACUCACACUUUGCAGGAUUAUGCCAUACAAUAACCACAUACGCCUUUUGUUUUAAAUAAAAAUUUAUGCUCGCAAGAACGUUGCUGACAUCUCGAAUCUGUACCCAUAACAAAGCGUGGGAAACGAAACUAGUUGUAAAACCAAAACGAAUAGGACGCUCUGCUCAGGAAUCAUUAUUGAAAUGCUAACUAGGAAAAGCAGUUUUUGAACCUUUCUAGGAGCGAUCAAACUUGUGUUUCUGCCUGAUCUCUCAAGCUCAAGGUGUGAACCAAGUAGGUAUUCAUAAGUAAAAUUUCUUAAGUUGUAUAUAAAACGGUAGUUUCAGGAUCCCUAAGCACUAUUUUUAUUGCUAAUGCUGUGCUUCGUUAAAUUUUUAGGGAAUGGAAGUUGGAGUGGAUCAGAUAAUGAUGGUCAAUACUUUGUUUCAGUACCACUUACAGCUCUUGAAGCUAAGCUUCAGGCUCUUACAUUUUCAGGUCAGCUUUUUCAAAGUUUCAACAAUGGAGUGGGCCCAUACGUUAACUCAGUCAGAAAUUAGCUUAUAAUAUAAUCUUUGGUAGGUAAAGUUUGUGGCUUCCUUCGUAGCAACUUCCUUCUUGUCAAACAAUACAAUAAUCUUUGAUACUGUAACAUUCUCUUCCAAAUCUCAUCUCAUUAUCCCAUUGAUAUCCCAAUUUCCCUCAUCAAAUUUCUUAAACCUUUCUGAUGAUCAGUGCUUCCUUUUCUGGUUGAAUCGAAUCAUCUGGAUCUAAACAUCUUGCAACUUCCUUGUUAUAUUUAAACCAUAUAUUCUUCUCUGUUCUUGUUUUUCUUCCUCAAUACUACUUGAGCAAACCAGCACUUGAAGAACAACUUGAAUCCAGGUAGAUUAUUUAUACUCCAUCUUCUUGAUUUUGUUUUUCACGUGUAACUCUGGUUUGAAUCUUUCAUGUAAAACACAAGUUGUAGAAAUUCUAAUGAGAAGCUUUGGAGUUAGGAUCAUCAACAGUUUCCAAAAAUAAAUAAUUUGAUCUUUCUCAGUUGUAACAAUCCAUGCCUUAAGGAGUUCAUACUAAAUUGACCCCAAUAUAACCUUGAAUUCAUUGUUUUUUCUUCUUAGUUUCUUUGCUGUUUGUAACUUAUUAUUUUAGUUUCAACCUUCCUUUUCCAAUUAAUGUACUUCCAUUAAUUUUUAUUCAAUAUUUUGACCCUUUUUAUCUAUAGGACAAAAUGGGUAGAUCAGAUGAUCCGUUUUGGAAGGAAGUUGAAGAUAUGAAUGAUGGAAGCAUGAAGUGCAAGUUUUGUGGGCAUUUAUUUGCCAAUGGCACUUCCAUUUCGAGGAUCAAAUGGCAUUUAUCAGGAGAGAGAGGGCAUGGUGUUGGCAUUUGUGGUCAAGUGCCUGAAGAAGUUCAAGAAGCAGCCUUUCUAGCUAUGCAUGUUGGCAACAAAAGACAUAAAAGCAUAGCAAGUUCAAGCAAUGUUGACAUUUCCACCUGUCCACAAGAACAAGACAAUGCAGUACUUGGUAAUUUGGCACAAGGUGUUGGGCCUGAGAGAAUUCAUUCGCGUUUAGAAGCGGCAAGUGGCAUGGAAUACACUGGUGAAGGAUCUUUUCAUCAUGUUGACAGAAGUGUCUCUCCUUGGAGACUCAGAGUUGAUGCUCAUAAGAAUAGAGGAGAAGCAACACCAGUAACAGAUUUAGUGGAUCAAUUUGCUGAUGGUACUUGGGUUCAGAUACACUCUGCCCUUUCAAAGGAGCAGAAGCUGAAUGCAAUCUCUACCUAUUUAAUGCUGGAAGAGGACGAUGUGGAGCGUCUGCGUGAUGGAUUUGAAACUAUACCGAGAACAGAACAAAUGCAGCAUCUGGAGAGAGUUAUCUCUUGUGAAAGGCCAUCAAUUAAUCAAGCUGAUGAGCCUCGAGGAGAUUCAUCCCAACCAACAGAUCCAUUGUGUCUUGACCAUGGAAGAUAUUAUCAUCAACUCUGUUCACCUUCACUAAGCAAAGAUGUCUUUAUGUAUGAUGUGCAGAACAUGGUUAGAGUGAGGACAGAACCAGUAGAGGAGGAGGGUGUGGAGAAUAGUGGAAGAUUAGUGCAGCAUGGCGCAGGAGCUAGAUCUUCUAGAUGUCUUAAAUACAACACAAGUGAGACUAGAGGAGUUCCAUUACCUACUAGCUCUAAAAAGCUAGUGGGUCGAGCAUUUGAAGAGAAUACGAAGGUGAUAUGGUCUUUGUUAAUGGAUGAUGAAGUCUCAAUCAUUGGCAUUUACGGGAUGGGGGGAGUUGGUAAAACAACAAUACUGCAACACAUCCAUAAUGAGCUUCUACGAAGACUGGACAUUUGUGAUAAUGUUUGGUGGGUGACUGUGUCUCAAGAUUUCAGCAUUAAUACAUUGCAGAAUCGUAUUACUAAAUGUCUUGAUCUAGAAUUUUCAAGGGAAGUUGAUGAUUUGCAUAGAGCUGCCAACUUGUCAGAAGAACUAAAGACGAAACAAAAAUGGAUUCUUAUUUUAGAUGAUUUGUGGAACAAUUUUGAACUUGACAAAGUGGGAAUUCCUGUCCCGUUGAAAGGAUGCAAGCUGAUUAUGACAACUCGAUCAGAAACAGUUUGUCAUCAGAUGGCUUGCCACCACAAAAUCAAGGUGAAGCCACUUUCCGAGGGAGAAGGUUGGACUUUGUUCAUGGAAAAACUUGGAGGUGGCAUAACACUUUCACCAGAAGUGGAAGGAAUUGCGAAAGCUGUUGCAAGGGAAUGUGCUGGUUUGCCUUUGGGAAUUAUUAUAAUGGCAAGAAGCUUGAGGGGAGUGAAUGACCUACAUGAGUGGAGAAAUACAUUGAAGAAAUUGAGAGCAUCAGAAUUUAGGGACACAGAAGUAUUCAAGUUAUUGAGGUUUAGUUAUGAUUGGUUAGGUGAUUUAGCACUACAACAAUGUCUCUUGUACUGUGCAUUAUUUCCUGAAGAUUAUAUGAUUGAAAGGGAGGAGUUGAUAGAUUAUUUGAUCGACGAGGGAAUAAUUAAAGGAAAGAGAAGAAGGGAAGAUGCAUUUGAUGAGGGCCACGCGAUGCUUAAUAGACUUGAAUAUGUCUGCCUAUUGGAAAGUGCUCAAAUGGAUUAUGAUGAUAGUAGACGUGUCAAGAUGCAUGACUUGAUUAGGGACAUGGCCAUCCAAAUACUGCUAGAGAACUCUCAAUACAUGGUUAAAGCAGGUGCACAAUUAAAAGAGUUGCCAGAUGUAGAGGAGUGGACGGAGAAUCUGACGAGAGUUUCACUAAUGCAAAACGAGAUCGAAGAAAUUCCUUCCAGCCAUUCACCAAUGUGUCCAAAUCUGUCCACUCUAUUUCUAUGUGAUAAUAAAGGGCUGGGAUUUGUUGCGGAUUCAUUUUUCAAGCAAUUGCAUAGGCUCAUGGUCCUUGAUCUGUCUCGCACAGGUAUUAAAAAUUUGCCAGACUCUGUUUCUGAUUUGGUGAGUCUCACUGCAUUAUUGCUCAAUUAUUGUGAGAACUUAAGACAUGUUCCAUCAUUAAAAAAGCUCAAGGCACUGAAGAGGUUGGAUCUCUCUCAUACUACGCUUGAAAAGAUGCCGCAAGGAAUGGAAUGCCUAACCAACCUAGGGUAUCUUAGAAUGAAUGGAUGUGGUGAAAAGGAGUUUCCUAGUGGGAUAUUACCAAAACUCUCUCACCUGCAAGUCUUUGUACUAGACGAAUAUUAUCGUCCGAUAACAGUUAAAGUAAAGGAAGUUGUAUCCUUGAGAAAUUUGGAAACUUUGGAAUGCCAUUUCGAAGGUCUCUCUGACUUCGUGGAGUAUCUCGGAUCUCGGGAUAAGACCCAAUCAUUAAGCACAUACAGAAUUUUAGUAGGAAUGGUGGAUGAAGAUUUUUGGCAAUACAGUGAUUAUUCUCCAAGUAAAACAGUUGGGUUGGGUAAUUUGAGUAUCAACAGAGAUAGAGAUUUUCAAGUCAAGUUCUUAAAUGACAUUCAAGAACUGGUUUGUGAAAGCAUCGAUGCAAGAAGUUUAUGUGAUGUUCUGUCAUUAGAGAAUGCACCUGAAUUGGUGGUUAUCCAAAUUUACGAUUGCGAUAGCAUGGAGAGCUUGGUUUCAUCUUCUUGGUUCUGCUCUGCUCCACCACCAUUGCCAUCAUAUUAUGGUAUGUUUUCUGGUCUUAAAGAGUUUUAUUGUAGUGGAUGUAAGAGUAUGAAGAAGCUGUUCCCGCUUGUGCUGCUGCCAAACCUCGUAAACCUGGAAAGGAUUGAAGUGAUGCUCUGUAAGAAAAUGGAGGAGAUAAUAGGAACAACAGAUGAAGAAAGCACCACCUCCAAUUCCAUCACGGGAUUCAUUCUCCCAAAGUUAAGAACUCUGAGACUGAGAUAUUUACCAGAACUUAAAAGCAUUUGUAGUGCAAAACUGAUUUGCAAUUCUCUUGAAGAUAUUACUGUAACGUUUUCUAAGAAGCUGAAGAGGAUGCCAAUUUGUCUUCCGUUGCUUGAAAAUGACAAGCCAUCUCCUCCCCUUUCUCUAAGAAUAAUGUAUAUAGAACCAAAAGAAUGGUGGGAGACAGUAGUGGAGUGGGAGCAUCCUAACGCAAAGGAUGUCCUUCGUCCCUUUGUAAAGUUUGGGUUAGUUUGAGGAGCCAUCUCAUCCUUUCGUUAAUCCUUUCGUUGUAAGAAUACUAAUUGAUUGUAACCUUAAAUUUGCUCGUAUUCAAUAAUAUUCAAUUCUUUCAAUCAUUUUUGAUAUGAUUGAUGAAAAUAGUCCUUUAAAUCAACAAGGAUAUUCUUAUUAGUUAAUAUUGAAAUAAUCCUUCGUCCCUUUGUACCUUUCUUUUAACUCGAUAGAUAAAUAAUUAUAAUUUGAAGUUUGAUUAAUAUUAUAUUUUCAUCCUAUUGAGUUUCUCCAAGAUGAAAAUCCAAAAAAUAAUAAAAUACUAUAUUGAUUUAUCAUUAAAGUAACCUAAUAAAAUAAUAGAUAUAUUCACUAUUAUAAAUCAUCUCAUAUCAUUAACUAGCAAUAAAUUAUUUAAAAAUAUAUAUAAUACAGAUUAAAAAUAAAAAUAAAAAAGAGAGAACACAUUCUUGAAUUUUCGUCAAUCCAAACAAACAUCGUAAACAUGUCAAAAGUAAUCUUCUACCUCAGUGAAUUUCAGUACAACUACUGCACACAAGAUGUACGUAGCACUCUUCCCCUUUCCAACCUUGCUUAAUUCAUCAAAAGCUAAUUCCUGUCUAUCAACUCGAUUUGGAAAAAUAACUGAAAAACUCUGUUCAAUGAGUUCUAUGAAGUAGUAGAACGUGUAUGCACUAAGGAGAUCAAAUGAGGAAGGCUAAGAUUCUCUAUUAAAUGCCUCUGAGAGAGCAUGAACUGAACUGAACAUUUAUUUUUUGGAUGAGUUUUGGUUUCUAAACCUGAAACUGCCAUCAUAAGCACUAGCCAGGGAAGUUAGGAUGAGCUUUUCUUGUCAUUAUAUCAUAUUUUUCUGCCAGGAUAAUGCUCUCUAUAUUCUCUGCUACUAUUGCUUAUAAUCUUGUUGCCUGUGGUAUCUUUUCCAACUUGUUUGAGGAAUGCUUUCUAAUUCUGUUUCUUGGAUUGUAAAUUUGUUGUCCACCUGCACAGUUAAACAGAGUUAACCUAGUAAUCCAGAAGUUAUUGGUGACAGAUGAUCUGGAUCCUUUUCGAGAAAAAGUGAGUUCAACUUUUACAUUUUUUUUACAUUAUUUUGUUGCUCUAAAUCAAGAAGUUUACUAGACUUAUUACUCUGUAAAUUUGCUUUCUGAGUGCUGAGCAUUUUAUACGACCAUGUGAUUGGGGAGAUUUGAUUCUCAUAUAAUUAUUGUCAGCUUAUUUGUGAGCCAAUAAGUAUUAUUGAAUAGAAAUGCUUUCAUUCUUUACCGUUAGUUUGAAAGUGAAUUGAACAUUUAUUAGCUGAGUUUUUUUCAUUUUCAAGAGGCCGUUUGUUUGUGUGCUUGCUUUUGCGUUUGAAGCAGCCACAACAAAACAAAUGUUUAGUUAUGUAAAAAAAACAAUUUAUUUUUGGUGGGCCCUAUGACAAUGCACGUUUGCAACACGAUUUUGGCGAAGUAGCUCCUGACUGCUUUUCUUCACUCCGUGUUUCAGUGAAUUGCACUGUUCACUUAAAACAAUGAACAGUUCAAUUCACUUGCACUAUUCAUGUGAACAUUUUUUUUUCAGUAUAUUUAUUUUUUGUACAUUAAAAAAAAACUAGUUUAGAGUGAAUUAAAUUCACUCGCACUGUCAUGUGAACAAUAUAUUUUUUUUCAAAAAAGUAGUGUAGAGUGAAUUAAAUUCACUCACACUGUAAUAUCAAAUUAAUUUUAUUCCUGAUAAUAUUUUAUCUAAUUUUAUUGCACGCUCAAAAAAUUAUGAAAACUGUAGUUCUAGUCGGAUGAAUUUUGUACGUAAUGGAAUUGUAGAUGGUUUAAUGGAAUAAUAAAAAAUAUUUUAUAUAAAGUAUUAUUUAUUUCAUGAUAUAAUAGCAAUAGUUAAAUCUACAAUAUUUAAAUUAAAAACCAUCAAUAUUAAUAUAUAUUUUUUAAAAUUAUUUUAUAACCUUAAUUUCAAAAGCAUUGUUAACCAAACACGUUAAACUACUUUUUGUUUAACCUCAAUUUCAACCACAGUUUUAACCAAACACCUAUUUUUUCAAACCAACCUCAACUAAAAGUACUUUUUAUAAAAUAAUUUUUUUCAAACCACAAUCACAACAGCUACCGCAUUACCAAACACACUCUUAAUUUACGAAGCAUUUCAUUAUUCUUUUUCUGACUUUAUUAAAUUUUUUCAAGAUAAUUUAUCAGAUAAUUUUAGCCGGAGUCCUUACAUAUGUAUGCAGGUUAGAAUUCAUUCCCAUCAAUAAGAUGGAGUAGUAUGAACAAUUUUUAUUUUUUUUGGUUUCUACUUACGAUUUUUUUCAUGAUUAAUACCGAUUUAUUUUCACUUUCUAGUAUACCAUUGUUAUUAGUUUGUGGUGUGGCAUAUAAUUUUUUUAGAUCAGUGUUACUUCAAUGGUGGUGGCGUUUAAGUAUACCUUCUGCCAUAAUAUUUAAUAGCAAUUUCUAUGAUAAUCUCAGAAUCUCCAAGCUAGCUUUUGCACCCUUCUCAUUUUGAUAAUACCUAGCUUUUAAGAUUUUUAUUUUAUUUUUGACAUCAAAAGGAUCCUAAAUUCAAAAUGGUUGUGAGCAUUUUACCAAUCUGUUGGGGGUGAUAUUGGUGGGCUUGGGCUAGGAGAAGGGUUAUUUUUACUCUUGGGCUAUUGGCGAGGCUUGAGACUGCUACCUUUUCUUUUCGUUCCCGCGCUGCCCCUCCCUCUCCAAAAAGUCGCUCAAAAUACAGAUUACGAAAUCUCAGAUAUUGCUUGGAAUUGAAUGCAUGAGUUGAAACCGUCGGAGAACACCAGGAUAAGCUCCAAACACAUCGCCACCGGCAUGCUCUCCAGCAUAAUUCACGUUCCCUUUUCAACCAUCGAACACCCCACAGCCUCCUCCUCCUGUUCUUGUCGAGAAAGUAUAUGGAGCCUUAACAAAUAAAGGUUCUCUCUGUUGAUAAUUGGGUUUGGGUCUCAAGUGUUUGUGAGAGUACAAGAACUUGGAUGUUAAAAAAUUGGUCGUGAUUACUUCUCAGGAGUUCUGGUAGUAAUAGAUCAAACUUAUACCUUAUUCAGAUAAAUUGCUAAAGAUCGUAGCAUGAUUAGUUAAGAGGAAGACAAUUUUAGCCAUUUCGUCGACAAUCACGGGGAAGGCUUUGCCAAAUACUUCAUUUCAUGGAUUCUGAGUUUCAGCGGCGGAAGCAAGGGGAAGCCAGCAGGACCGGGCCCUUGCAAAACUUUUUUUUAAAAACAAAUAUAACAAAUAAUAGACUUUUUAAUAUUAAAUUAUUAUUUUAUUAGUUAUGUUUGACUUUAAAACUAUAUCUCCUUGUAUCUUUAUAUAAGUGGAAAACAAAAAGACAAAUAAGCUUUUCAAUUUAAUUCCCUUUCUUUAAUCUCUCUCUCUUUCUUUUCUGCAACUUUAACAAAAAAAAUUAAUAAUACAAGGCAUAAAGGUUCAAGCAAAAUUGCCAAUUAAUUCUUCAUCAAAAUAAGGCAAUUAGUUUUUUAAUGUUUGUUAAGAAUUUGAUAUAUAUAUAUAUAUAUAAUUCUGCUAUUUUUGUUUUUCAAAUCUACUAGUUUUAUCAUUUUUUAUUUCUUGUUAUAGUGAAUGUUGUUUUUUCUAAUUAAUUGGAUAUAUUUUAUGAGUUUGUUUUGAUUAUGUUUGGAUUUUUUUAUUUUUUUUUUUUAGCAGAUCCAUCAAAAUUAUUAAUUUUUUCUCACGUGUACCUUACUAUCACCAGGUCCAAUAUACAAUUAGACAUGAUCUUUGUAGCCAAAUUGAAUUCUUUGAAGAGCACAUACCCAACUUUGAUUCAGUGUAAGUUUUCUUUUUUAGGAACUAGUAAUCCCAUUUUUUAUGUUAGAUAUGCUUUUAUAUAUCAAUUUCUUUUUUUAAUAUGUUAAUUUUGCUUUCAUAUGUCUGUGUGGUUUACAUGUAAAAAAAAAAUUUUGGUUUUGAUUAUUGCUUCAACACAUCAUUAUUUGUAUUUAUUUUUUAAAUAGGAAACAAUAAAAAUUUGUGAUGUUUUGAUUUUAGGUUGAACCAUGAACAAAAUAAGAAGAAUUGAUUCAUUUUUUGAGAAAAAAGAGAAAAAUAUUGAUAACUCACAACCUAGUAAAUCAACUUCAAUGUGUAAUGUUGAAGUUAUGGUUCAACAACCCCAAUGUGCUUCAGUUUAUGAAGAACCUGCAUUGAUUAAUGAGCAGCCUCCUACUAAAAUCGACAUUGCUCAUCUAAUCAGAGAUCCAAGCAAUCGUCCUCAAAUUUAAGAAUACCCGGUUAAUCAACAAGAUGAAAUUAGAAGGGCAUACAUUAAUUUAGGGCCAUAUCAACCUUUGAUUUCUGAAUAUCCGCUGACUGGUAAAAAAACAUCCUCGUCGAUUUCAGUCUCAUUAAUUGGUUCAAAAGUUAUCCAUGGCUUGAAUAUUCAGAGAAAAAUACUGCAUUUUGUUUCCCUUGUUAUCUAUUUUCAAGUAAGUCAUCUGGAAAGCCAGGAUCAGACACAUUUACUGUUAAAGGAUUCAAUUGUUGGAAGAAAGUUAAUGAUGAGGAACGGUGUGCUUUUUUAACUCAUAUGGAAAAAGGUCCGAAUUCAGCUCAUAGAUUUGCUACCAGGUGCUUGAAAAAUUUGAAAAAUCAAUCAUGUCAUAUUGAGAAAGUAGUUAAGAGGCAAACUACUCAAGAAAUUCUAAAUAAUUGUUUGCGUAUUAAAGCUUCAAUAGAUAUUGUUCGUUGGCUCACAUUUCAAGCAUGUGCUUUUAGAGGACAUGAUGAACGUUCAGAAUAAAAAAACCUAGGUAAUUUUCUUAAAAUGUUGGAACUUUUAGCAUCAUACAAUGAACAAGUAGGUGCUCUUAUUUUGGAUAAUGCUCCACAAAAUGCUAAAUACACCUCGCUUCAAAUUCAAAAAGAAAUUUUGCAUGUCUUUGCUAGAAAUGUUCAGUCUUCAAUUCGUCAUGAGAUUGGUGAUGCAAGAUUUUGCUUAAUUGUUGAUGAAGCUCGAGAUGAAUCCAGAAGAGAGCAAAUGACCCUUGUUAUUAGGUUUGUUGAUAGAAUUGGAUUUAUACGAGAAUGAUUUUUGGAUAUAGUUCAUGUCAAAGAUAUGACUGCUUCAACUCUUAAUAAAGAGAUUUUCUUUGUUUUAUCUCAUCACAAUCUUGAUGUUCAAAAUAUUAGGGGUCAAGGGUAUGAUGGUGCUAGUAAUAUGCUUGGAGAGUGGAAUGGAUUGCAAGCUUUAUUCAUUAAUGAUUGCCCUUAUGCAUGUUAUAUACAUUGCUUAGCUCAUCAAUUACAAUUGGCUUUUAUUGCUGCAGUUAGAGAAAUAUCUGAUGUUUACAUUUUCUUUCAGAACUUGAUUUUUAUUGUUAACAUUGUUAGUACUGCUUGCAAACGUAAUUACGAGCUUUUCAAGCAGCUACAAUUGAACAUUUAAUUGAUAUUGGUGAAAUUAAAACGGGUAAAUGAGUUAAUCAAAUAGGUGGUUUGCAACGACCUGGAGAUAGAAGAUGAAGUUAAAUUAAUUUGCAGUUUGACAAAAAUAUAUGGGGCAACUUGCUUGGUUCUUGAAAACUAGUGAGUUUUUAGCUAUCAAAUGGCUUUCAAAACAGUUUUCUAAAUUUUACAUUCUAUUUGUGUACUCUAAUUCGUCUCCAAUAUCUCUUAUCAAAUGGGUUCUGAUUUAGAUGGUAUGAGCGAGACUUUUGGCAUACAAAAGCUGGGAGUUCCUGUCCAAGUUAAGGGAUGCAAGCUGAUUCUUACAACCCGAUCAGAAAAGAUUUGUCUAUGGAUGAAGUUUCCUAUUUACUUUGCAACAACCCUUAGCAUUGACGGGGGAGGAGUGAGAGGCAUCAUUCCUAGAUUAGUCCUUGCCGCUCUUGAAUCUAAGCUCUAGCUAGGUUCUUGAAUAAAAAACUUUAGAGUUACGCUCAUGUAACAUCGAUCAGACAAAAUACAAUAAUUAAUUAUUGUUGAAAAGCAACUUGCGGUACAUAUAAGUUAUUAUUGAGCUGUCCAUGAAAGUGAGGUCCUUAAAUUUUGAUUCUGCAAUGAUCUUGAUGACAAAUUCAAGAGCAAGGAACAGUACAAGCAAUGGACAAGGAGAAACAGACGACCAUACAAAUAAUCUGAGGCCCUCUUUGAAUUGUUCUGGCAGCUUGCUAAUAGCCUACUCCAUAUGGUUGCUCAGUUCGAUCUCAAUGCUUACAAUGUUUUCAGAUUUACUCUGUAUGGUUACUCAGUUCGAUCUCAAUGCUUUUAGAUUUUGCUCAGUUCAUGUUAUAACCCGCAGCACCGCGCGGGCAAUUCACCUGGUACAUUCUGCAAUGAUCUUGAUCACAAAUUCAAGAGCAAGGAACAGUACAAGCAAUGGACAAGGAGAAACAGACGACCAUACAAAUAAGAGUCGGCAGGCCGAUGUAUUGGGGCAGCCACCUCUCUGUUUAUAAAAAAGCUUUUUGCUCAGAUGAUUUUUGUGUUAUACCUCUUUUUUUUAUUAUUAUUAUUAUUUCAGAAAACUAUCCUGAACUGGAAAAUAAAAUGGAGUUGCUCGCCUCGCAACAUUUCAUCCUUGUACUGUUUGAAAGUAUAAUUAUAAUUAUUUUUUAAAAUAUUUUUAUUUAAAAAUAUAUAAAAAUAAUAUAUUUUUAUUUUUUAUAUCAACAUCUUAAAAUAAUUUAAAAACUCUAAACAUGUGACCUUUACAGGGCUUAAGUCUAAUCAGAUUCACUAAUCAAUAAAAAAAUUAUCAUAAAUGAGUGUUGUAACAAUAUUUUUUAAAUAUUUUUUUAUUUUUUUAAAAUUAUUUUUAUAUCAACACAUCAAAAUAAUAUAUAAAUAUAAAAAAAUAAAAUUUAACCAAUACCCAUUUAAAACACAAUAGCAAACUGGGAUUAAGCAACACAGAAUUAAUCAAAUAGUUUUUUGGAUAAUGAUAAUUUUGUUGGGCCACAGAAUUAGGUCACUGAAGAACUUUUUAGUAAAGGAUCAAUUAUCCACACAAUCCUUCAUCACCAUCCAAUCCCAUCACUGGAAAACUUAUCCUCUUUGAUCUCAAUGCCCUUUUGUCAUCCCCAAAUAUAUGCUUUUAUCCCUUUUCCUUUGUAUUUUGUCGUUUGUGUCUUUGUCCACUGGCUUAAGGGUGUUUAGUAAUUCUACAUACGGUUUUUUAAAAAAUAUUUUUCAAAUAAAAAUAUAUUAAUAUAAUGUUUUUUAAUUUUUGUUAAUACCAACCCAUUAAAAUUAAUUUGAUAUUUUUUAAAUAAAAAUAAUUUAAAAAGUAAUAUCAAUUACAUUACCACCAACUGUAUGGGUUGGUUUAUUGGGAUCAAAGUCAAGAGAAGCAUAGGUUUACGCUAAUGGAUGAUUACGACCAGAACAAGGGUUUAGCAAGGAUCGGAAGAGGGACAGGAGGGUUUAGAGGACACGUGUCAAGUCUUACCAUAAAGGUUAAAAAAUGAUUCAUGAUAUUACUGUAACGUCUUGUGAGAAGCUGAAGAGGAUGGCAAUUUGUUUCCCGUUGCUUGAAAAUGGCCAGCCAUCCCCUCCCCCUUCUCUUAGAGAAAUCAAUGAAUAUCCAGAAGAAUGGCGGGAGAGAGUAGUGGAGUGGGAGCAUCCUAACGCAAAGGAUGUCCUUCGUCCCUUUGUAAAGUAAUAUAAUAUAGUGUGCUUACAAUUACAUAAAUAACAUUUUUCAUUGUUUUAUUUCAUUAAAGACUACUGAAUUGUCAUAUAUAUAUUUUUUAACUUGAUAGAUAAAUAAUUAUAAUUUGAAGUUUGAUUAAUAUUAUAUUUUCAUCCUAUUGAGUUUCUCCAAGAUGAAAAUCCAAAAAAUAAAAUAAAAAUACUAUAUUGAUUUAUCAUUAAAGUAACCUAAUAAAAUAAUAAAUGUACAAACAUUUUUAAAAUGUCUAAGAGAGUAUGAAGAUGGCAGUUUUGGUUUCUAAACCUGAAACUGCCAUAUUCAUAAACACAUUUUUUAAAUAAAUGAAACUUCUAAGACCAAAUUUAAUACUAAAACUAGAAAGUAGCAUAGGCGUGUUAUAGGUAAGGGCAGAUACACUGCACUCAUGACAUGAUCUCUUUAAUAAUUUUGAUCCCUAUAAAAUCUCCCUCUGGUUGUUUGAAGCUAAAGCUUGAUUGCGUUCCUGUGGUUUUGAUGAGUCUAUGAAAUGCUAAAAUGCUAAAAUGGAAUAAAAAUAAUAGAAAUUAAACAGACAAGUCAAGGCCCAGCUGGAGUCGUGAAAUUUCACUAAUGAGGAUUUCGAAAAAGGAACUGCUAAAGCCUAAAAUUUAGGCAAUUUGUUUUUGACACAACGGGGAUCAUGAAGACGUGAUGAAAUAUAAUUUUAAAAUUUAAAAUAUUUUUAAAUAGUUAAGAUUAAAUAAGUUUUUAAUUUAACGCAAUUCAAUUUUAAUAAAAUAUCAAUUAAUUAAUAAUAAAAUAAUAAAAUCGAUAGUGUCAUCGGUUGAUUUUAUUAGUUUAAGUCAACAUUAAUAAAACAAAAGAUUUGAAAUUUAAUUAAUUAUUAAAUAACAUGUUUAUGGUUAGAUUACAGUUUCUUCUUUACAAAUAACCAGGGGGGAAAUUAACAUAAAAAACAAAUCUUAAAUUUCAUUUUUUAAAUAAAUUAGGUAGGAUUUGAGUUUUUUUAAGUAAUUAUAUCUUUAUUAGCUUAAACAAAGAUACUUAUUAAAAGGGCAGAUUAGAAAAGGGAAAUUUAAGAGUAAUUAAACUUGUAAAAGCAUGUUGAAGACCAUAUCUAAAAUAUAAGGAUUAAUUGGGAAAAGUCUUCAAAGAAAAAGGACUACUUUUUUAUGGGAUGGUGGGGGAGUUUCUCGGAAUUGAAAUGGUCAAGGAUGUAGAGGAGUGUCAUCUUUCCCAUCACUGUUAUCGCCACCGAAGAGUCGAAAUUAGUCCUGGCCUGUUAUGGCAAGUCGUCGGAGGGAGGGCGACCCAUUUUCCUAAAGGAUUGUUUGGCAAAGCGUACACUUGCAUAAAGGAAUGGUUAAGGCUCUCUUGAAAAUUAAGAGUUCUAUAAAAGGUAUCAAGAUUAAGGAAUGUAUAAUAACGGUUGUGGUUUAAAAUAUUUUUUAUAUAAAAAUAUAUUAAAAUAAUAUUGUUUUAAAUUAUUUUUGACAUCAACACAUCAAAAUAAUUUAAAAACAUAAAAAAAUUAUUCUUAAGCAAAAAAAAUUAAAUUAUGAUGGAACACGGUUUGCAUUGCGUUUCUAAAUACGCUCUAGGUCAGAGUUGGAUUUUGCUCCACCGGUCUUCAACUAUGAAUAUUGAAAUUUAUUAUUCAUUUGUGUCUUUGAUUUUGCCGAUUCGAGCCAAGCCGACAUUACCCGAUCGACUUUUUUUCAAUCAAUUUUACAAAAAUAAAAAACUUAAAAACCAAACCAAAUCUUCAUUUUGAGUUAUAAAAUAAGCUAUAAAUUUCAAAUCCAACAAUGGAUUUAUUAAAGAGAAAAACAUUUAACUAUAUAAAUACAAUUUGAAUUAUUUGAACCACAUUUUGUAUACAUUUAAUUUUCUUAACACUAAAGAAUGAUCAUGUAAGUGUUGUUAAAAUAUUUUUUAAUAUUGAAAAAAAUAUAUAAAUAUAAAUCAAAAGGUCAAUGCUUGUAUAUAAUAAAAUACAAUGAGGAUCAUUGUCUGCCCUCCGCUACGACAUAGGUCAUGAUAUUGUAAUAAUAUUGUAAAAAGCAAAUCAGAACAAAUUAAUCAUAUAAAAACAAACACAAAAUAUAUCAUGAAGAUCAAUCUAAAAUAAACCAAAUGCUUUAAAAAACAUUAAAAAUGAAUCCUUUUUUUUAAAAAAAAAAUAUGUAAACUGUCGCACGUGCGCGACGUCGCGGCGAUCGUCCACCCUCGUAUGUGUGAUGGGGGGUAUAUAUCUAGUAAAUAUGGUGAGACAAGGAGUUCUUUGUCUCUUAGCAGUGAAAAAUAGUGUGGGAGUCGCCACCUAGUAUUUUGGUCACUAGGAACCCUAACUGGUCUCAGAGAUCAGGCACGGGGACUGGUUGCGUAAAGAGAAGGUAUUAGCACCCCAAAUACGCCUUACCUAAGGUAAGCUGCAUUGUUUAUUUGUCUGAUAAAAUUCAAAGUCUCGUUGUGUUUCCUAGUUGUUGGUCCAUCCAUAGUUCAAGAAAAGUCCUCCUCAAUAAGGAGGUCCUUAUCUUAUCGGGUAAAACCUAAACGUUCUAAUGUCUAUGUAUGUUGGUCCGUCUAUGGUUCAAGAAAAGUCCUCCUCAAUAAGGAGGUCCUUAUUUUAUCGAGUAAAACCUAACCGUUCUAAUGUCUAUGUAAAAAAGCUAUAUUUUUAAUAUCAGGAAUACAUUUUACGUAUAAAUUCUUAAUCCCAAAUACUAAAAGAAGACAAAAAGAUUUUUUUAGAAUUUUUGAAAUAUUGGCCUAGUUCUCAUGACUUGAAUAAACUGGUUAUUAAAGCCAAAAUGCAUGCUAAUACAUAUAUUGAUUUUUGAAAUUUCCUUUGUUGUGUGAAAAUAUGCUGUUAUAAUAUUUAUAUAUAUAUAUUGGAGAGACUAGGCCGUAUGCACGAAAACAAAACCUUUUUAAUUUAUGUAUUUUUUUUGUAUGUUUUGACGCAAAUCGGGUAUUUUAAUACUGGGUUUGUAUUCUUACAGUAUAAAAAUACAACCAAAUAUUAAUCCACUUUGAUAAAACAAAUGCAGAAAAAUCAACAAUAUUUUUAAAGAUAUUUUUAGAAAAUUUUUGAAAAGCAAAAGACAUUUUUUUAUUUUGAAAAUCUUUGAUGUUUUGAUGAAAACCGGGUAUUUUAAUACUGGAUUUUGUAUCUUUAGAGUAUAAAAAUACCAACCGAUAUUAAUCAAAAUACAAUAAUAAAAUUACAACAAAAUCACAUAUUUUUUUAAAAUAAUUUUUGCAGAAUUUUUGUAAUUUUUCACAUAUAUAUAUAUAAGUAAUACAAAAUAUAAUAUAAAUAAUAUAUAAUAUUAAAUUCAGGCUGGGCCGGCCCAACCAACUGGGCCGGACUCAGCCCAAAAUUGUUGGGCCGAUUUCGGCCCAAAGUGGAUUGGGCCGAUCUCGGCCCAAAAAAACUAAUAUUCUCUUCUGGGCCAGACCUGGCCCAGAAGACAGGGCUGGGCCAGGAUCUGCCUGGCCCAAGCCAAAACGGGCGGGGGGAAUUAUUUUCCCCCCACCCCUGCAUGCAGAACGCUACUCGUUCUGCAUGCAGAGAAGGAAAAGAAAAAAUAAACGCGAGAAUGAGGGGGAAGAAAAGUUACCUGGCGCGGAGGCGGAGGCGGUGGCUUGCUGCGUUUCUGGCGGUGCUGUGGUGGAGGCCGGUAGCGGUGUCGCUGCUCACUGGCGGCGGCUCCAAGCAGCGGCGCUGCUGUCUCAAGCGGCGGAGAGAGGGAUUCUUCCUCUUUCCUUCUCCUCUGUUUCCUUCCCUUUUCUUCUUCUUCUUUGGUUUUCUUUCCCCCUGUUUUCCUUUCUUUCGGUUCUCUCUUCUUCCUCUCCCCUUUCUCUCUCUUUCGGUUUUUUUUCCGUUCUCCUCCCCUCUCCUCUGUUCUUCUUGUUUUUUUCUCCCCCGUCUGUUCUCUUCCUCCUCCUCAUUGCUGCUGUGUUGGCUGUUAUUUAUAGAGCCAAGUGAGUGGCUUUUCGCUGUGGAGCAUGGGGAGCAGCCGGCCGGUCGGCCAUUGGGCGCGACUGCCAAGGCUCGGCCCCCCUCCCCGGUUUUCUGGCAGGUGCGCGGUGGGUGGUCGGCCAUUGUGUCCGGUCGGUGGGCUCCAGGCGAGAGAGUGGCCGGCAAAAAUUCAAAUUAAAGCAACCCUUUUUCCUUCUUCCCCGCUGCAUGUUCGGGGGGGAAGAAGAAAGAUGAACAGUGUCAUUCAAAACGACACCGUUCUGCUCUUUCUUUUUUUUUUUUUUCUUGAAUGUAUGAAACGGCGUCGUUUUGGAGAAAACACGCCGUUUCAUUUGAAUGUGGCGCCAAAACGCGCCAAAGUCCAAAUCAGCCCUUAAUCAUCUUUUUUUCUUCAAUUGCGUCCCUGCCAAUUUCGGUCUCCGCCCCUCUUGUUGGCCGCGUUUUUCACUUUAGUCCUUGGCCUCUGAUUUAUGCAAUUGAGCCCUUAAUUGAUCAAAAACUUCCAAUUUCUUCAAUUAGGCCCCUGAAUCAAUUAAUUCCAGCCCCUCCAUUUACGCGCCUCUUCCAAUUUGGUCCCUGGUUUCGGAUUUUCUCAAUUAAGUCCCCAAUUGGCCCUUAAACUUCAAUAUUUAUGCAAUUAGGCCCCUGAUUUGACCUAAUAAAUUCCUAAAAAAUAUAUUUUGGCCCCAAAACUUAAAUUUCUUCUAAUGAAAGCCCAAAUUGACUUAAAAAUCAAAUUUUCUUACAAUCAAAUCUCCUAUAAAUUCAUUUAAAAAUCCAAUCAAGUCCAUAAACAUCCAAAUUUGGGCUUUUCUCCUCAAAUUUCAAAUUUUCCUUCUCAACAGGGCUCUCCUCCCUCAAGAAUAUAUUAUCAAAAAAAAUCCAAUCUUUGUAUUUUUAACCUCAUUGACAAAUUUUCCAACCAUUUUCUGAGCGCUUCUACCUCCUGUUAUUUUUCUAACCUCCUUUGGCUAUAUAUUUUUAUAUAUAUUUUGUGGGGACCCAAAAAUGGGUUACAACAUAAACGACAACAUAAUAGUUCGACAUGAGCUUUGUGACUAAACCCACCAAACCCGCGACUUUGUAAAAAACAAAUCAGAAUAAAUUAAUCGUACAAAACAAUCAUGAAACAUAUCAUGGAGAUCAAUCUAAAAUAAGCCAAAUGCUUUAAAAAAAAUUAAAAAUGAAUCUUUUUUUUAAAAAAAAAUAUGUAAACGACAACAUAAUAAAUCGAUAUGAGCUUUGUAGCUAAAUCCACAAAACCUGCGACUUGAAUCAUGGAGUCCAUUGAGUUUAAUAAGAACGUUAUUUUAAUUCUUUUUUUUCUAAAAAAAGGAAAAUUAAGUGAAAAGUUUUUAUAGAAAGACCAAGCCUAGUUGGGCAUAUAAUAAAAUCUACAGGGACUGUAAAUACAUAAUCAAGAAAAUAGGAGGACCAAAGUUAACUUUUUUCACCAUCCAUUCUCUCUGUUUUUUUCACUAUCUUUUGAUUUUAUACUCGAUUAACAAUCUUACUUAAACUGAUACUCAAUUUAAUUCAGAAAGGGCGGAAUUUAAAACAACCGAAGUAUUGGAAAAUUCAUCAAUCAUGAUGUUAACAUGUCAUAAUUAAUUUGAGAUAAGGAAUAUGUAUGGACUUUACAAAUAGGUAUUAUCAUCUAGAAUACUAUAAUUCUUAUUAGCAAUUUUUUUUUGUACAUAUUCAAGGCUUUCUACCAGAAUUCUUAUUAGGAAAAACUUGUGUAGAUAUUCAAGGUAGCUGUAAGUACAAAUUCUCAAAGUACUGUAGGGAAUGGAAGUUGAGGUGGAUCAGAUAAUGACAUUGAUGGGGGAGGAGUGCGAUGCAUCAUUCCUAGCAUAGUCUUACAUUUUCAGGUCAGCUUUUUCAAAGUUUCAACAAUGGGGUGGGUCCACGAGUUAAAGUGUUUGGCAUUAUUGUCAGAAAAUGUUUUUCUUAAAAAAUAAUUUUUAGCUUCUGAUUCUUUUGUUGAAGAUUUUAAUUAUAUGCAGCGCUAGACAAAAGAAAAGCGAAAUAGAGGUGUACAGCAACUUGUUGUCUCUUGUAAUAUAAUCUUUGGUAGGAAAGUUAUGGCUUUUUUCCUAGCAACUUCUUGUCAAACAAUAAAAGAAUCUUUGCUACUGUAACAUUCUCUUCCAAAUCUCAUCUCAUUAUACCAUUGAUUUCCAAUUUCCCUCAUCAAAUUUCUUAAACCUUUCUGAUGAUCAGUGCUUCCUUUUCUGAUUGAAUCGAAUCAUCUGGAGCUCAACAUCUUGCAACUUCCUUGUUAUUUUUAAACCAUAUAUUCUUCUCUGAUCUUGUUUUUCUUCCUGAAUACUAGUUAAGCAAACCAGCACUUGAAGAACUACUUGAUCCAGGUAAAUUAUUUAUACUCCAUCUUCUUCAUUUUGUUUUUCACAUGUAACUCUGGUUUGAAUCUUUCAAGGAAAACACAAGUUGUAGAAAUUAUAAUGAGAAACUUUGGAGUUAGGAUCAUCAACAGUUUCCAAAAAUAAAUAAUUUGAUCUUUCUCAGUUGUAACAAUCCAUGCCUUAAGGAGUUCAUACUAAAUUGACCCCAAGUUAACCUUGAAUUCAUUGGUUUUUCUUCUUGGUUUCUUUGCUGUUUGUAACUUAUUAUUUUAGUUUCAACCUUCCUUUUCCAAUUAAUGUACUUCCAUUAAUUUUUAUUCAAUAUUUUGACCCUUUUUAUCUAUAGGACAAAUGGAUCCGUUUUGGAAUGAAGUUGAAGAUAUGAAUGAUGGAAGCAAGAAGUGUAAAUUUUGUGGGCAUUUAUUUGCCAAUGGUACUUCCAUUUCGAGGAUCAAAUGGCAUUUAUCAGGAGAGAGAGGGCAUGGUGUUGGCAUUUGUGGUCAGGUGCCUAAAGAAGUUCAAGAAGCAGCCUUUCUAGCUAUGCAUGGUGGCAACAAAAGACAUAAAAGCAUAGCAAGUUCAAGCAAUGUUGACAUUUCCACCUGUCCACAAGAACAAGAUAAUGCAGUACUUGGUAAUUUGGCACAAGGUGUUGGGCGUGAGAGAAUUCAUUCGCGUUUAGAAGCGGCAAAUGGCAUGGAAAACACUGGUGAAGGAUCUUUUCAGCAUGUUGACAGAAGUGUCUCUCCUUGGAGACUCGGAGUUGAUGCUCAUGAGAAUAAAGGAGAAGCAACACAAAGAACAGAUUUAGCGGAUCAAUUUGCUGAUAGUACUUGGGUUCAGAUACACUCUGCCCUUUCAAAGGCGCAGAAGCUGAAUGAAAUCUCUACCUAUUUAAUGCAGGAAGAUGAGGAUGUGGAGCGUCUGCAUGAUGCAUUUGAAACCGUACCGAGAACAGAACAAGUGCAGCAUCUGGAGAGAGGUAGCUCUUGUGAGAGGCCAUCAAUUAAUCAAGCUGUGUAUAAUGUGCAGAACAUGGUUAGAGUGAGGACAGAACCAGUGGAGGAGGAUGUGGAGAAUAGUGGAAGAUUAGCGCGGCCUGACGCUGGAGCUAGAUCUUCUAUAAGCCUUAAAUACAACACAAGUGAGACUAGAGGAGUUCCAUUACCUACUAGCUCUACAAAGCCAGUGGGUCAAGCAUUUGAAGAGAAUACGAAAGUGAUAUGGUCUUUGUUAAUGGAUGAUAAAGUCUCAACCAUUGGCAUUUACGGCAUGGGGGGAGUUGGUAAAACGACAAUACUAAAACAUAUCUAUAAUGAGCUUCGAGAAAGAAAGGACAUUUGUGAUCAUGUUUGGUGGGUGAUUGUAUCUCAAGAUUUCAGUAUUAAUAGAUUGCAGAAUCUUAUUGCUAAACGUCUUAAUCUAAACCUUUCAAGCGAAGAUGAUGAUUUGUAUAGAACUGCUAAAUUGUCAGAAGAACUAAGGAAGAAAAAAAAAUGGAUUCUCAUUUUAGAUGAUUUGUGGAAUAAUUUUGAGCUUGAGGAAGUGGGAAUUCCUGAGAAGUUAAAAGGAUGCAAGCUGAUUAUGACAACUCGAUCAAAAAUAGUUUGUGAUCGGAUGGCUUGCCACCCCAAAAUCAAAGUGAAGCCACUUUCCGAGGAAGAAGCUUGGACUUUGUUCAUGGAGAAACUUAGAAAUGACAUAGCACUUUCACGAGAAGUGGAAGGAAUUGCGAAAGCUGUUGCAAGGGAAUGUGCUGGUUUGCCAUUGGGAAUUAUUGCAGUGGCAGGAAGCUUGAGGGGAGUGGAUGAUCUACAUGAUUGGAGGAAUACAUUGAAUAAAUUAAGAGAAUCAGAAUUUAGGGACAUGGAUGAGAAGGUAUUCAAGUUAUUGAAGUUUAGUUAUGAUCGGUUAGGUGAUUUAGCACUAAAGCAAUGUCUCUUGUACUGUGCAUUAUUUCCUGAAGAUGAUAGGAUUAAGAGGAAGAGGUUGAUAGGUUAUUUGAUCGAUGAGGGAAUAAUUAAAGGAAAGAGGAGUAGGGGAGAUGCAUUUGAUGAGGGCCACACGAUGCUUAAUAGACUUGAAAAUGUCUGUCUAUUGGAAAGUGCUAAUUGUAAUAAUGGUAGACGUGUCAAGAUGCAUGACUUGAUUAGGGACAUGGCCAUCCAAAUACUGCUAGAGAACUCUCAAGGCAUGGUCAAAGCAGGUGCACAAUUAAAAGAGUUGCCAGAUGCAGAGGAAUGGAUGAAGAAUCUGACGAGAGUUUCAUUAAUGCAAAACAAGAUCGAAGAAAUUCCUUCCAGCCAUUCACCAAUGUGUCCAAAUCUGUCCACUCUAUUUCUAUGUGAUAAUAGAGGGUUGAGAUUUGUUGCGGAUUCAUUUUUCAAGCAAUUACAUGGGCUCAAGGUCCUCGAUCUGUCUUGCACAGGUAUUGAAAAUUUGCCAGACUCUGUCUCUGAUUUGGUGAGUCUCACUGCGUUAUUGCUCAAAAAGUGUGAGAACUUACGUCAUGUUCCAUCAUUAAAGAAGCUCAUGGCACUGAAGAGGUUGGAUCUCUCUCGUACUGCGCUUAAAAAGAUGCCGCAAGGAAUGGAAUGCCUAAACAACCUGAGGUAUCUUAGAAUGAAUGGAUGUGGUGAAAAGGAGUUUCCUAGUGGGAUAUUACCAAAACUCUCUCAGCUGCAAGUUUUUGUACUAGAAGAGCUUAAGGGGAUCAGUUAUGCUCCGAUAACAGUUAAAGGAAAGGAAGUAGGAUCCUUGAGAAAUUUGGAUACUUUGGAAUGCCAUUUUAAAGGUUUCUCUGACUUUGUGGAGUAUCUCAGAUCUCAGGAUGGGAUCCAAUCAUUAAGUGGAUACAGAAUUUCAGUAGGAAUGGUGGGUACAUAUUUUUGGAAAUACAUGGAUAAUUUGCCAUGUAAAAGAGUUCGGUUGUGUAAUUUGAGUAUCAACAGAGAUAGAGAUUUUCAGGUCAUGUCCUUAAAUGACAUUCAAGGACUGGUUUGUGAAUGCAUCGAUGCAAGAAGUUUAUGUGAUGUUUUGUCAUUAGAGAAUGCAACUGAACUGAAGCACAUCAGCAUUUGGGAUUGCAAUAGCAUGGAGAGCUCGGUUUCAUCUUCUUGGUUCUGCUGUGCUCCACCACCAUUGCCAUCAUGUAUGUUUUCUGGGCUUAAAGAGUUUUAUUGUGUUAGAUGUAAAAGUAUGAAGAAGCUGUUCCCACUUGUGUUGUUGUCAAACCUCGUAAACCUGGAAGUGAUUGACGUUAGAGAUUGUGAGAAAAUGGAGGAGAUAAUAGGAACAACAGAUGAAGAAAGCAGCACCUCCAUUUCCAUCACGAAAUUAAUACUCCCAAAGUUAAGAACUCUGAGACUGAGAUAUUUACCAGAACUGAAAAGCAUUUGCAGUGCAAAACUGAUUUGCAAUUCUCUUGAAGAUAUUACUGUAGAGGAUUGUGAUAAGCUGAAGAGGAUGCCAAUUUGUCUUCCAUUGCUUGAAAAUGGCCAGCCAUCUCCUCCCCCUUCUCUUAGAAGAAUGAAUAUAAAAUCAAAAGAAUGGUGGGAGACAGUAGUGGAGUGGGAGCAUCCUAACGCAAAGGAUGUCCUUCGUCCCUUUGUAAAGUUUGGGUUAGUUUGAGGAGCCAUCUCAUCCUUUCGUUAAUCCUUUCGUUGUAAGAAUACUAAUUGAUUGUAACCUUAAAUUUGCUCGUAUUCAAUAAUAUUCAAUUCUUUCAAUCAUUUUUGAUAUGAUUGAUGAAAAUAGUCCUUUAAAUCAACAAGGAUAUUCUUAUUAGUUAAUAUUGAAAUAAUCCUUCGUCCCUUUGUAAUUUAAAAUUUGAUUAAUAUUAUAUUUUCAUCCUAUUGAGGUUCUCCAAGAUGAAAAUCCAAAAAAUAAAAAAAUACUACAUUGAUUUAUCAUUAAAGUAACCUAAUAAAAUAAUAGAUGUUUUGAAAGAGGGGGUAUAGCGUUUAUUGUACUCCAAACUCAUUGACUGAUGUACCUCUUAAAUAAAAGCACACCAUAUACUGUCAAUAAAAAUAGUGAAUUAUUCUAUAUUAAAAUAUAUUAUUUUAAUGUAUUUUUAAAUAAAAAAAUAUUAAAAAUAACAACAAUUACAUUCAAUCUAAUUACACAAAUCUGACUUAAUACAUAUUAAAGUUUGUGAAGAUUGAAUACCUAGUCUUUAUUUUUUAGUUAUUCUAUAUAAAAUAUAUUAUUUUAAUAUAUUUUUAAAUAAAAACUACUUUAAAAAUUUUAAAAAUAACAACAAUCACAUUCACUUCCGCACUGUCAAAAUCAUUCUAAAAGUAGUAAUGUUCUUUAAAAAAUCAUUGUUUAUGGAUUCAGUAAUGUUUUUUCUAUUAAAUGGAUUAAUUGUUUGAUUAUAUUUAGAUCAUUUAUUUAUCUGUAUUAAUUUAAUUUUUUUACUAUAAUAUUGAUUUAAUAAAAAGAACUCCUACAACAUGCACUUAGCUGCCAAAAAAAUCCUAAAAUUGACUCAAUUGGAAAGGAUCAUGGUACUUACUAUCAAGAUUGUUAUGCCCGCAAUCAAAACAUAAUUUGUUUUUGUACUUAGAAUUAUGUUUGAGUGCAUUUAAAAAUUUGUUUAUUUAAAAAAAUAUAUUAAAUUAAUAUUUUUAAUAUUUUUUGAUAUAUUAAUAUUAAAAUAAAAAAAUAUUUUAAAGAGAAAAAAAAAUAUUUGACAAAGAAUAAAUAGGAAGCUUACGAAUAGUUAAGAGUCGUAUUGCAAAGUAUAGUUUACCGGUUGACUCACAGAUUAACUGAUUAACCCCAUCAUAUUAUUUAUUUAUAAAAACUAAAAUAAUAAUGUUUUUUUUUAAUAUUAUCUUUUUAAAUAUUUUUAUUUUAAAAAAGUUUCACGUUGUAGAUAAAAAAAUGUUUUAAUUUAGCAACGAUAGAGCAUCCACAAGGAAGAUGUUUUGCCUCUUUUUUUUUAAUUUGUUUUUGUUUAUUUGAUUAUAGGCUGGUUUAGAAUUCAGCUAACAUCUAAUAAAAUAUUUUUAUUCUUAGAAAUUUUGUGAAAAACAAUCAGAAAACUAAUUUAAUUAGGGAUUAUUAAUUGAGUAAUUAAUUACCUUAACCUUACAGAGGAUUUUCUUUUCUUUUAUUUUAUUUUUAGAAACAGCUAAUUUAAUCAAACCCCAAUAGCCUGAUUCUUGGAUCACAGAAGCUUGAGACAUGGCACGUGCUACAAGGAAAAAAGCAUGAUUGUGUUGAAAACCUUUAAGAUUGGACUGUCGCAUUCUAACAAUAAUGUUUGUACCAUUUAAUAAUAAUUGGACCCAACUUCACUUCAACUUUAUUUUAUAUUUAUAAUAAAUAAAAAGCAUGAUUGUGUUGAAAAUCUAUUUUCUGUUUUUAUUUUUCAAUUUUGAGAUGACUCCUCAGGAAACAAUUCCAACCAAUUAUUUGCCCUGGAAUUUGGAUGAUGUGUAAUUCCAAGCGGGCACGCUGCAUUUCUUAGCCAGGUGGAGCAAGAAUUGAGGUAGCUUGUUUCUGGCUUUUGCUUCUCUGGGUAUGAUUUAUUGGGCUACUUUAUAGGAUUUUUUAUAAAGCAUUUUGUUUUUAAUUUCAUUUGAUAAUUUAUUUCAAUAAGCUUGUUAUGGAGCUCUUGUGGUCUAAGAAGAAAAAACAAUUCAAUGUAGAGGUGAUUUUGUUCAAUUUAAUUGAUUAAAAAUAAGUGAAAUUUUGAAGGUCAAAUUUGAUAUUAAAAUUAUAUUCAAGACUGAAUGUGAUAUUAAAACUAAAAAUAAGUAAAAAGUUUUUACACUGGUAAAUGUUAUGAAAAGAAAUUGCUAUCCAGCUGGUGUACAGAUUGGAUAGCAAAUCAAGCGUUGAAGUUUUCUACUGCAGUGAAGCUCCCUCUCGUUUUGAUAAGUGUUCGAAAAUAUUUUAUUAUUUGUUUGUUUUUAUGGUUUAAAAAUAUGUUAAAAAAAUUAAUUUUUUAUUUUAAAUUUAAUUAAUUUUUUUGUGUUUUGAAAUUGUUUGGAUGUAUUGAUAUUACAAAUAAUUUUUUAAAAAAUAAUAAUUAAAUAUUAUUUUGAUAUAUUGUUAAACAAAAAAUAUUUUUAAAAAUAAUUGAUACUGCACUCUCAAACACCCCUCAAUGCUAUAUUAUUGAAAUAAAAUGCUAAAAUGUGAAUAGAAAUAAUAGAAAUUAAUGUGUAUUUUUUAAUUGAAUUUCUAUUUACUUUAUAUACUCUUAAACAGGUCUUUAUGUUUGACUUCAGAGUUUAUAGAAAAGCAAGUCAAGACCAAUCAAAUUCGAAGGAGUUAACCUAAUUUAACUGAUUAAAUUUUAAGUUUAUUCUUUAAAAGUUAUUAAUUUAAGUUUAUUUAUCCGUUAAAUUCACUUGGAACCAGCCUGGAUACACUAAAAGUAGUAAUGUUUUUUUUCUCUUGAAAACAGCCUGGAUGCACUUAAGUAUUUUAAUCACAACUUUCCCCUCACAUAUCAGCUUGCUGUGAUUCAUGACGCGUUGGAAAGGUAUCUUAAAGGGCUACAAAUUAGCCUCUAAUGAGGAUUUCGAAAAAAGAACUCCUAAAGCAUUUACGUGGCUGCCUAAGAAGUCCUAUAAUUUAGGUUUCUGAUGAAAACGUGCGGGAUCAUGGAGACGUGAUGAAAAAGGAGGGCUGCCUCUUUUAGAAAAAGGGGUAUUUGUUGGCAAUUGCGCCAGAGAAAAAAAGAAGAAGGAGAACAGGCAAGGAAAGGAAUGGCUAAUACAGUGAAGUAGUAAUAUUUUUUUUUGAUAUAUUGAUAUUAAAAAUAAAAAAAAUAUUUUGAUUACUAAUAACGAAUAGUUAAGAGACGUACUGGUGGACUUAACCUGAGUAAAAAACAAAACCACAUCAUAUUAUUUAUUUAUAAAAACUAAAACGAUGGUAUUUAUUAAAAAAAAAACUAAAAUAACAAUGUUUUUUUAAAUAGUAUUUUUUUAAAUAUUUUUAUUUUAAAAAAGUUUCACAUAGUUGUAGAUAAAAAAAAAAAAGAUGUUUUAAUUUAGCAACAAUAGUUAAGAGACGUAUUGGUGGACUCACAUAUUAACUGAUUAACCUGAAUAAAAAACAAAACCACAUCAUAUAUAUAUAUAUUGGGUUGGUGUUUAAUUUUAUAAUUAUCUAUUUUUAUUAUUAUAUUAUUAAAUAAAAACAAUUUUAAAAAAAAUUAUAAUCCUAGUUGAGUCCAUAACCUGGUUCAUGAGUUUGAUGUGCUAGACCAAGUGACCUGAUUCACAAAUUUGACAGGUUUACUACUGAUCGAAUAUGUUUUUUUUUUUGUUUAUGGUCUUUUAAUUUUUUUAAUUGAUUUUUUUUAUUUUGUCCUUCAAUAUUAUAUUGGUUUCGAAAUAGACUGCAUGAUUUAUUUUUGUUUGUUUUCUAUAGGAUUAUCAUAAUUUUAAAUAAAUAUUUAUCUUAGGGAUAAUACUCAAUUUUAUGAGCAUAUUUUUUUUUCAUAUAAUUAAAUAAAAAAAGCUUAUAAAAAAUUACUAAACCCAAUAAAAUCCAUGACCCGGGUCGCAAGGUACCGAGAUCGAUCAAAUCUGUUAUUAUUUCAAUAUUUUUUUUAAAAAGGUUGUUGUCUAGAGUUUUUUUCUUAAAGCUAAGCCAUGUUUUACUGAUCUUCUAAGUUAUAUUUGGAUAUUGAUCAAUUUAAAUUGAGUUAAUUUCCAUAUAAUUUAAUUAAAAACUUAAAUUAAAUAAAUUAUUAGGUUAAAUUUUUUUAAUAUUAACUACCUAACCAGGUUUAAUAAUAUCGCCAACAAACUUUCUUCACUCUUAAUAUCUUAUAAUAUAAUGUUUGGUAUGUAAAGUAGUGGGUUGCUUCCUAGCAACUUCCCUCCUAUCAAACAAAACAAUAAUUUGUGUAUACUGCAACUUUAUUAUUUUUCUAAAUCAUAUAAUCUUCUCUGAUCUGUGAUUUCUCUUCUGUUUUAAUCCUCAGGACGUACUAAUCAUCUUCUACCUCUUUUCCUUUCCACACCUCACCAGUGCGAACUAGAUUUAUGUGAUUUCUCUUCUCUUUUUUUUGGCUGAUUACUUCUCAAGCGAACCAGCACUUGAAUCCAGGUAAAUUAUUUGUACUUCAUCUUGUUGGUGUUUUUGUUUUUAUAUAUUUAACUAUGGUUUGAAUCUUUAAAGUAAUCCAUGCCUAGUGGAGAGUUCAUAUAUACUAAUUAAUACUGAAUUCAUUGCUUUCAUCUUUUCAAAAUUCUUUGCUGUUUUUAACUCAUUAUUUUAGAUUCACCCUUUUCUUUUCCAAUUAAUGGGACUGCCAUUGAUUUUUAUUCAAUAUUUUUCAACUUGAACAUUAGUAUUAUUUUCAACUAAUUAAUACUGAAUCACCACUGAUGACUCGAGGAUUCCACCUCUGGACCAUUAGCAUAAACUAGCAAUUAAUUAGAUUAACAUAAUUAAUUAUCUUGGAUUCUACUUCAUUAAUUGGGUACGUAGACGCUGCGAUCUGGCCCCCUGGAAACUUGAGGGGCACUUAUUGACAGUGGCUAACAUUAAUGUGACCCCUUCAUGAAUAUAUAUGAUUUCUUCUGGAUUCUUGUGAAGAAUACUGUUUGGUGUAGAUCUUUAGCCCCUGUGAACUUUCAGGAAAUGCUGCCGUGUAACUGUUAGCUUUUUUUUUUUUUUAGUUUAACAUGGGUGUCCGGGCCAGCUUGCACGUACCUCGACUAAUCCCAUUGGCCCUGAAGUUAACGAUCAUGUAAGCCUCCAAUGGUCAUCAUAUACACAUGACUCGAACCUGAAAUUACAAAAAAAACAAAUUUCUUGUUCCCAAGCUCUUACCAGUAUAACUAUUAGCUUUCAUUUAACCGAUCUGCUUAGUGACCUCACAAAUAUGGGAACUGGGAUCCAUAUUUAAUUAUGACAAAAAAAAAAAAAAAACCAACCCUUUUCAUGUUGUCAUCAACUUUAAAUGAACUGAUAGUGCUUCAAUUAUUCCUCUGGAGUAGACACCCAUGUUACUUUUAUGUAUUAAAUUAGUAUGGUUUGCUAAGAAUACCUUCUUGAAAAAAGGAACCAUAAGUAAUGGGAUUAACCUACCCAAGGUUAGGGUUAAGUUCAAAAUGGCCUUGGAGUCAUAAACUUAAAUAAAAUAAAAAACAUAUUAUAAGAUAUUACGAAUCCUUUUCAGAGGCUUGUACUUGAUGCUGCAGAAUAUAAGUUAUAGUAAAAAAUGGAAAUGGGACUUUGCGUGAUAAAUUAUAUGUUAGAAUAAUGUCACACAAGGGCAGGGGAAUCUUAACAAGCUAGCAAGGAUAUAUACAUAUAUAUAUAGUACACCACCAUAACAUCCAACAUACCUCACUAAUUAUUAAUUAAUUCUCGAACUUUGAGAACUUAAAGAAUAAAAAAUAUUCGCAAUCAGUUAAUUACCCCUCUCUUCACUGUAUUAAAGACCUCCAAAACAAUCAGCUCUUCUACCUUCAACAGUUAUCCUGCAUCUUUCUAUCUAUCAUAAAAAUAAUUUGAGUAUGAUAAUUUAUCUUAAAAGACAAAGGAUUAAAUCAUUAACAACAACAUUUAUAUUUCAUAUUUUUCAUCCGAAUUUCUUUAACAAACAAGAAAGUCAUAUAUAUAUAUAUAUUCUUUUCUGAUCUGUGCUUUCUGUUCUUUUAAGACCUCAGUUUUUUUUGUCUUUUCUGAUCUUUUCUGGUCAGAUGGAAGAGUUCCAACCAUCUUUUAUGGAGGAGGUUGACAACAUGACAUGGGAUCAGCUGGGUUUUCAAUCAGAAGAAGAUACAUUCAAUAUGUCUGAGCUUCUCUCGUACGUCAUUCUUAAGCAUAUUUUAUCAGAAGAUGAUUGCUUGCAGUUUAGUUAUUCUUCAGUUUAUCCUAUUAUUCCCAAAAAACAAUAUAAUGUCGUCACUGUCCAUGGAAGCAGGCCGCCACCGGAGGUUCCAGUCAACCAAAGCUCCAUAUCAUGCAAUGAUCAAGGUGGACAGAACAAUGUGAUCAACAAUAGUAUUCAACAAACAACUCCGUUUCCAACUUCAUUUCCUGAAACAAUGGUGAGUACUCCAAGCUUACUCCAAUUUGCUACAAUGUCCAUUGAAUUAGCAAGUGUUUGUAUUAUACAAAAAGUUUUAUGUUAAACAAACAGACAACAAUUGAGAGAUUUAGACAUUUUUUAUGAUAUUUUUUAUCAUUAAGUUUUAUAUAAAAUUGGCCUCAAACUCCAUCAAGGCAUCAUAAUUCCUUUAUUCAUCAACCUCAGCCGGGACAUGGCUAUAUGACACCGAACGCAACCACUUCACAACAUGGUGGCUUCAAUCAACCUGGACCUUCUUUUCCUCCUCCCCGGUAUCCAAUUUUUCAUGUUUAGUAUUUUCUGUAAAAAAAAAAUAGUUUUUCAAUCAUUAUUUAACUUCUUCUUCCUCCUCCUCUUGUUGUUGUACUUAUCAGUGAAUUCAUUAACAAAUGUUGCUAAUUUAGGGACCAACAAUGGACUCAUUAUCUGUUACCAAUGAGCAAUCAAGUGCCUGCGAUGCUACCUGGACCUCAACCUCCAAUGAAUCAAUGGUAUUAACCUCGAAUUUACGCUUUUUUAAUCAUGAAAACAAUAAACUUGACCAAAAUUGACGAGGAUCUUUCAAGUCUUUUUGAGCUCUCUAUCUCUCUUUUUUUGUGCACAUAAUGGAACUAGAAAAUCAACCAAGUGAGCAUAACAGUUCUAAGUUUAACUAUUUGAAUAUUCUUCAGGCAUCAGAACUCCUUUAUUCAUCAACCUCAGCCGGGACAUGGCUAUAUGACACCGAACGCAACCACAUCACAACAUGGUGGCUUCAUUCAACCUGGACCUUCUUUUCCUGCUCCCCGGUAUCCAAUUUUUCAUGUUUAGUAUUUUCUAUAAAAAAAAAUUAGUUUUUCAAUCAGGAAAGAAACAUCAUAGCUUGAACAUGAACCCAACAAGCUAAACAUAUUGUUUGCAAAUGAUUUUGGAUUCAGGAGUCAAUAUUUUUCUAAUCAAGGACAAGUCGAUCAAGCUGCUGUAAUUCCUAACAUGGACAAUGUGCAACAAGAGAACUUCGUGCCUAGGUACUGAGUGACUUCUAGCUGUUGUGUUUUAACACCAUUAACUUUUACUGCUUAAGAGAGACUACCAAUUAUGGAAAGGUUUUAUAAUAUGAUCACUUCAUUUAUAUAUAGGUCAUAGAUAACCUCCAAGUCCGAGGAUUGCGAAAUCAAACUGCUAGGCCAAAUGCCUCAAAUCCUGGCCUUGGAUUGCAAGAUCAAACUGCUAGGCCAAAUGCCUCAAAUCCUGGCCCUGACACCUCCCUGCAAAGUCAAAUUAGGGGUUUAAAUACUCAACAAGUAAGAAGUCUAACUGAAUUAUCGUAGUCUUUUUCCCCUCUAUGAUUGUGCAAUAAAAUACCUAUCAAUUUUAAUAGCAAAAUAAGGGUAACAACACUGAAGUAGUUUCUUAUCCAUCCGGAUAUGGUGUAACUUGAUUCGUUAAUUUUUAUUCCAUAUUUUGACUGAUUUUUAUUCUAUACUUUGACUUCUUUUUUCUCUGUAGGUCGAAAUGGUUGGAUCAAAUGAUCCGUUUUGGAAUUAUAUUGAAAAAAAGUCUGAUGGUAGCAUGGAGUGUAAGUUUUGUCAACAUACAUGGGCCAAUAAAACUUCCAUUUCAAGGUUCAAAUGGCAUUUAUCAGGAGAGGAACGACAUGGUGUUGCCAUUUGUCGUGAGGUGACUAAAGAAGUUCAAGAAGCAGCCUUUCUAGCUAUGUGUUGUGGCAACAAAAGACAUAAAAUCACAGCAAGUUCAAUCAAUGUUAAUGAUUGUGGAAUUUCAACAAUGGUAGGAGGUAUUGGAAGGGUACAAAGAGAAGUUCAGGUUGUAGAACCCGGGGUAGGGGAAGAGAGGAUUUCUUCUCAUGCAAUAGCAGGAAACGACGUAGUAAGCAUGACCGGAAUGUGAGCACAAGAAGAUAGAGUUUUCGAAGGGACACUCGAGAGCAGACUGAGGACAGAACCAGUGGAUCGAGCGUUGGAACAAAGCAAUGCAGUGCUGGAAGGAUACAAGUGGGAGUUCAGGGCAUGGAACAAGGUCCCGGAGAAGAGAGAAUUCAGUCGCAUUUACAAGCGGAAAAUGGCAUGGAAAACACUGGUGAAGGAUCUUUUCGGCAUGAUGCAUUUGCGACUAUACCAGGAACAGAGCAAGUGCAGCUUCUGGAGCCUCGAGGAGAUUCAUCCCAAUUUUGUCUUGACACUGGAAGAUGUUAUGAUCAACCUUGUGCUCCAUCAGUAAACGAUGAUGUAACUAGGCAUGAUGCACUGGACAUGGUUAGAGUGAGGACAGAACCAGUGGAGGAGGAGGAUGCGGAGAAUAAUGGAAGAUCAGUAGUCCAGGCUGGCGCAGGAGCUAGAUCUUCUGAAAGUCUGAAAUACAACAAGACUAGAGGAGUUCCAUUACCUACUAGCUCUAUAAAGCCAGUGGGCCAAGCAUUUAAAGAAAAUACGAAGGUGCUAUGGUCUUUGAUAAUGGACGGUAAAGUCCCAAUCAUUGGCAUUUAUGGGAUGGGGGGAGUUGGUAAAACAACAAUACUGCAACAUAUCCAUAAUGAACUUCUACAAAAACCAGAUAUUUGUGAUAAUGUUUGGUGGGUGACUGUGUCUCAAGAUUUCAGCAUUAAUAGAUUGCAAAAUCUUAUUGCCAAACGUCUUGAUCUAAACCUUUCAAGCGAAGAUGAUGAUCUACUUGGAGCUGCCGAACUGUCAGAAGAACUAAGGAAGAAACAAAAAUGGAUUCUCAUUCUAGAUGAUUUGUGGAACAAUUUUGAGCUACACAAAGUGGACAUUCCUGAGAAGUUGGAAGGAUGCAAGCUGAUUAUGACAACUCGAUCAGAAACGGUUUGUCAUCGGAUGGUUUGCCAGCACAAAAUCAAAGUGAAGCCACUUUCUAAUGGAGAAGCAUGGACUUUGUUCAUGAAGAAGCUUCGACGUGAUGUAGCACUUUCACCAGAAGUGGAAGGAAUUGCGAAAGUUGUUGCAAGGGAAUGUGCUGGUUUGCCAUUGAGAAUUAUUACAGUGAUAGGAAGCUUGAGGGGAGUGGAUGACCUACAUGAAUGGAGAAAUACAUUGAACAAAUUGAGAGAAUCAGAAUUUAGGGACAAGGAAGUAUUCAAGUUAUUGAGGUUUAGUUAUGAUCGGUUAGGUGAUUUAGCACUACAACAAUGUCUCUUGUAUUGUGCAUUAUUUCCUGAAGAUCAUAGGAUUCAGAGGGAGAGGUUGAUAGGUUAUUUGAUCGAUGAAGGGAUAAUUAAAGUAAAGAGGAGCAGGGGAGAUGCAUUUGACGAGGGUCACACGAUGCUUAAUAGACUUGAAAAUGUCUGCCUAUUGAAAAAUGCUAAAAUGAUGCAUGUUGCUUGUAGAUUUGUCAAGAUGCAUGACUUGAUUAGGGACAUGGCCAUCCAUAUACUGCUAGAGAGCCCUCAAUACAUGGUUAAAGCAGGUGCGCAAUUAAAAGAGUUGCCAGAUGCAGAGGAGUGGACGAAGAAUCUGACGAUAGUUUCACUAAUGCAAAAUAGAUUUAAAGAAAUUCCUUCCAGCCAUUCACCUAGGUGUCCCUAUCUAUCAACUCUAUUGCUAUAUCAAAAUCAUGGGUUGGGAUUUAUUGCGGAUUCAUUUUUCAAGCAAUUGCAUGGGCUCAAGGUCCUCGAUCUGUCUUGCACAGGUAUUGAAAAUUUGCCGGAUUCUGUGUCUGAUUUAGUGAGUCUCACUGCAUUAUUGCUCAAUGAUUGUAAGAAAUUAAGACAUGUUCCAUCAUUAAAGAAGCUCAGGGCACUGAAGAGGUUGGAUCUCUUUCAAACUUUUCUUGAUUGGAUGCCGCAUGGAAUGGAAUGCCUAACCAACCUGAGGUAUCUUAGAAUGAAUGGAUGUGGUGAAAAGGAGUUUUCUAGUGGGAUAUUACCAAAACUCUCUCACCUGCAAGUCUUUGGACUAGAGGAAACGUUAAUUGAUCGAAGAUAUGCUCCGAUAACAGUUAAAGGAAAGGAAGUAGGAUCCUUGAGAAAUUUGGAAACUUUGGAAUGCCAUUUCGAAGGUUUCUUUGACUUCAUGGAGUAUCUCAGAUCUCGGGAUGGGAUCCAAUCAUUAAGCACAUAUAAAAUUUUAGUAGGAAUGGUGGAUUAUUGGGCAGACAUUGAUGAUUUUCCAAGUAAAACAGUUAGGUUGGGUAAUUUGAGUAUCAACAAAGAUGGAGAUUUUCAGGUCAAGUUCUUAAAUGACAUUCAAGGACUGGAUUGUGAACGCAUCGAUGCAAGAAGUUUAUGUGAUGUUUUGUCAUUAGAGAAUGCAACUGAACUGGAGGAAAUCAUCAUUGAGGAUUGCAAUAGCAUGGAGAGCUUGGUUUCAUCUUCUUGGUUCAGCUCUGCUCCACCACCAUUGCCAUCAUAUAAGGGUAUGUUUUCUGGUCUUAAAGUGUUUUAUUUUAGUAGAUGUAACAGUAUGAAGAAGCUGUUCCCACUUGUGUUGCUGCCAAAGCUCGUAAACCUGGAAAGCAUUGGAGUUAGUGAGUGUGAGAAAAUGGAGGAGAUAAUAGGAACAACAGAUGAAGAAGAUGAAGAAAGUAGCACCUCCAAUCCCAUCACGGAAUUAACACUCCCAAAGUUAAGAACUCUGGAAGUGCGUGCUUUACCAGAACUGAAAAGCAUUUGCAGUGCAAAAUUGAUUUGCAUUUCUCUUGAACAUAUUAGUGUAACGCGUUGUGAGAAGCUGAAGAGGAUGCCAAUUUGUCUUCCGUUGCUUGAACAUAUUGUUAAUCCUUCCGUUGUAAGAAUACUAAUUGAUUGUAAGCUUAAAUUUGCUCAUAUUCAAUAAUAUAUCAUUCUUUCAAUCAUUUUUGUUAAAAAUCAUGUGCAAAACAUAAUUAUUUUCGAUAUGAAUGAUGAAAAUAAUCCUUUAAAUCAACAAGGAUAUUCUUAUUAAUUUAUAUUGAAAUAGUCAUUCGUCCCUUUGUACCAUUUUUUUUAACUCGAUAGACAAAUAAUUAUAAUUUGAAGUUUGAUUAAUAUUAUAUUUUUAUCCUAUUGAGUUUCUCCAAGAUGAAAAUCCAAAAAAAAAAAAAAUACUAUAUUGAUUUAUCAUUAAAGUAACCUAAUAAAAUAAUAGAUCUAUUCACUAGUAUAAAUCAUCUAAAAUCAUUAACUAGCAAUAAAUUAUUUUUUCAAUAUAUAAUACAGAUUAAAAAGAAUAAAGAGAGAGAGAGAAGACACUUUUAUAAGGAUAUAUUUAGAAUAAAAUUUCAUACCUCUAUCUAUUCUAUUUUCCUCGUACAAAAAUUCAUUCUAUUUUUCUAUAUUUCUCAGGAUUUUUUAAUCUAUAUUUUUAAGUUUUUUCUGUUUUUAUAAACAACAUAUAUAAACAAAAACUAGAAGGAUUGGUUAAUCAAUUCCUCAAGAUUUUUUAAUUUGUAUUUUAAAGUUUUUUCUGUCUUUAUGAACAACAUAAAAAAUAAACUAAAAGAAUUGGUUAAUCCAAAGACGGGUGUUUCUAAAGGUUGUGUUUUUUUUCAUUUGAUGUUAAUAUCAUAGAAAUUGUGAAGGGUGCAAAAGCUAAAUUGUGAAGGGUGCAAAAACUGCAUAUUGCAUCUGGUUGUGAAGGGUGCAAAAACUGCAUAUUGGCGGCAACAAGUGCCUGGUGGUUUUGUCUGAGUAAAAGGGAUAGAUGCUAAGUUAAGAGUUCAAGGAAGAGAGACAAAAGGUGGAAGGGACAAUUGUGUCGAUUGUUGGUUACAUUAUUGUUAAUAAAAAUGUAAGAAUUUAGGAGCAUGAGAGAACAUUUUCACAAUGAAGAUUAAUUCAUCUCCACAGCAGAAUACAGGAAAAAAAAAAUUAAAUCAAUAAAAGUAAGGUAUUUCAUCUCUUCGAACAUUCUUGAAUUCUGGUCAAUUCAAAUCACAACAAACAUCGUAAACAAUGUCAAAAGUAUUCUUCUACCUCAGUGAAUUUCAGUACAACUACUGCACACAAGAUGCUUAAUUCAUCAAAUGCUAAUUCCUGUCUAUCAACUCGGUUUGGGAAAAUAACUGAAAAACUCUGUUAAAUGAGUUCCUGUGGUUUUGAUGAGUCUAUGAAAGUGCAUUCUAUCAUUGGAAUAAAAUGCUAAAAUGUGAAUAAAAAUAAUAGAAAUUAAACAGACAAGUCAAGGCCCAGGAGUCGUGAAAUUCACUUUGAACCAGCCUCCACACACUUGAGUAUCUUAAUCAUAACUUUCCACUCACAUAUCGGAUUGCUGUGAUUCUUGACGCGUUGGAAAGGUAUCUUGAAGGGCUACAAAUUAGCCUCUAAUGAGGAUUUCAAAAAAGGAACUCCUAAAGCAUGUACGUGGCUGCCAAAAAAGUCCUAAAAUCUAGGCAAUUUGUUUCUGACACAACGGGGAUCAUGGAGACGUGAUUUUAGGGAUUUAUGUAGUUUAUGGAUUCACUCAUGUUUCUUCCAUUAAAUGGAUUAAAUCUUUGAUUAUAUUUGGAUCAUUUAUUUAUCUGUAUUGAUUUGAUUUCUUUACUAUAAUAUUGCUCUUAGUAUAUUGUGGUAAUUAAUUUAAUAUAAAAAAUCUAAAUUAGUAGUCUUUGAGGUUACUUAAAUUAAAUAUUGGUGCCUAGCUUUUAUUUAUUUAUUCAUUUAUUUCUAAAUACUGACCUUAAAAAAUUAUUGAAUUUGUAAUUCAACCAAAUAAAAUAUUACCAAUCUAGUUCAUAUCUAGCCAGAUUAAUAAAAAAGGAUAAAAUGAUAUUUACUGUACAAAGUGAUUGUUGGCAAUCAAUUCCUGGAUCAAGAAGAUAAGGUCCAGCCAUGGAGUAUAUACUUGGAUUGAAAAAUAAAAACUAAUAAUCUACAGAAUGGGUUCAUGUUAACUGAGGAUGAGGUCUGAUGCACCUAGCUACCGACUUUAAUAUUUUCAUUUAAGGAAUUGCAGCGUUGUGUCCCGAGGGAGGCCAACAGGCAAAUACUAAUAUCAUUUUUUUAUUUUUUAUUUUUUAUUGUAAAUUUAUUUUUGAAAAAAAAUUAAAUUUUUUAUUUUAAAUUAUUUUUUUAAAUAUUUUCAAAUUAUUUUAAUAUACUGAUAUUGAAAAUAAAUUUUAAAAAAACAAAAAUAUUAUUUUUAAUAUAUUUUUAAAUAAAAAAUAUUUUAAUAAUCAACCGUGAUCUUAAUUUCAAACUGUCAGUGCCCUAUACCAAACUAUAUUAUCAACAAGAUUUUCCUCAGAUGAAUUAAAGCAUUCUGCAUUUGACACAACUUGAAAACAUGUUUCUUCUUAAAUUAUUAUACCUGUGUUUUUUAAAAUCUAAAUAUUUGAGAAUGUGGCCGCUGAAAGCUUACCUGAUCGUUAAAUUCAGGACCCAUAAAAAUUAAUCGAGAUGCACGUACGUAAGCUGGCCCGGACACCUCACGUGAAUAAAAAAAACAAUGCAUCAAUUAAUUAUUAUUUGAGCUGAUUAUUUUAUUUUUAAUUUUAUUUUUAUAGGGAUUUAAGGCUGAUAAUUUGUUUUAAUUAACUUAUUGUGAAGUUCUCAAGGUUAAAAAAAAAAUAUUUGAUUUGAUAAAAUUUUGUUCAGUCUAAUUCAUUAAAAAUAAUUGAAACUUUGAACAUCAAAUAUGAUACUGAAAUCAAAAGGUAGCCUGGUGUGUUUUUCAAAAUUCUGUUUCUAGAGUUUUUGCAUUUUUUAUUUUUAAUUUUGAUUUAAAAUUUUAUUUUAUUCACUUUUUAGUUUAUAAAUUUGAGAUUAAAAAAAAUCACUAAAAACUCGGAAAAAAAUAGAAAAUUAUUGGCCGACAAUUUUGGCAACAAGAAAACACGAUCAUCUUUGUAUUAAUGAAAAACUAGUGUGUAGAUUGGAUAGCAAAUCAUACUUUAUAGGUCGAGGGCUAAAAAUAUAAAUUUGUAAAAGGGUGUUCGAAAAAAAAUAAUUUCCAUGGGUAUGGAAAAGUUCAAUAAGUCCUGGUUGAAGAGGCUUAUAUACGAAACGCCUCAAAAUAAUCCCUGGAGCAGGAGAUUCAAUUAACCGAGAUUCAGGAGAUGAAAUUGCACCUCAACCGUCAAUGGGUUUAGCCAGGGCAUUUAUAACACGACCCAAAUACGCCUCACUCACUGGUAUCUGAGCAAUUUUUCCUGUUGCUUUUACAAAACUUCUCUCUUGUAUCAUCAAGCCGUCACCCAUUAAUACAACACCAACAUUAUUUGAUUCCAAAUUAAGAGCAAUGCCUAUCGUACCCUCUUCAAAUUCUACCAAAUCACCUGCCACAAUGCCGUCACCCACAUGAAGUACAGUCCCAGUAUUUACAAUCUUUACUUCCCUAUUAUAUUGCUCAAUGCUUUCACGGAUAAUACUACUAAUCUCGUCGGCUCGAAUGAUUACCAUGAGUAUUUCUUAUUUUUUUUUUUUGGAAAAAAAAAUAAUGCCUACAGUAGAAGGUCUGAUUGGUGGAAUAACUAUCAUAGAAUAAGAUAAUAUUUGAUGUUGCGACAAUAAUAAUUUUUAAAAAUAUUUUUUAUUUAAAAAUAUAUUAAAAUAAUAAUUUUUUAUUUUUUAAAAUUUAUUUUUAAUAUUAACACAUUAAAAAAUUUAAAAUUAUUUAAAAAAUUAAUUUAAAACAAAAAAAUAUUAACAUACUGUGACAUUAUUGUUAUUUUUUUCGUGGUGUUGUUUGUUCUAGGUAGGGCCGGAAAGGUCACGGAAUGGAGAGUUGCUGCUAACCAUUAACCCAUGACAUGGCUCAAAUGAGUGAGACUAAUUAAAAGUCUGUAAAAAUGUAUCAAGUGACUGUUUGCAAUUAAUAUUUUUGAAUUGUUUUUGGUAUAGAAGUUCUUUUUUAACCUACUCUUAAGGUAAAAUACUUCUCGUCUACUUAAUAAUUCUGUCAUAACUAGCCUCACUCAACCCACAAUCCGACUUGAUGGUGAACUUCUGUGUCACAGCCGACAAUUUACUAUAAUUAAUGCAACCAUUCCAUAAUGGUUCAUCGGAAUCUUUCAAUAGAUAAAAAAACCUGGCCGCAUCUGCAUUAAGUUCUUCUUCUACAAUUGGACAUUGACUAACAUUACCUUAAUUCAUUCUCAUUGCAUCUAUAACCAUAAUCUUGCAAGGAUUACUGUUGUCAUUUACAACUCCAUGCACGUUGCUAGCACUAGAAGUUGACCCAACCAUUCUUUUUAUCAUGCUCUCAUUACGAACAAAUAAUUCUUUGUGUAACCAAUACAAGUAAUCCUCCAUAAACCGGCCACUUGUGUGGAAGAUGCAUCGUUACAACAUCUGGAUGCAUAUACUUUUUAUUUUUACACUUUCUGCGUGGACACCUAAUACUGCCCCCACUAAAAUUUCUCAGAAUAGAUGUUGCAAAAUUAAUAAAACCCUGAACCCCAUUACAAUAAUCCAUCGAUGAACGACCAUCCAUGACCUCUAUAAAAUAAUGAUGACAACAUGUAUUGAUUAAUUAUGUUAAGUAAAUAAAUUUAUAAAAAUAUUGGUUUAACUCGAGAUUAUCCAACAAACUAAUUAAAACUUAUCUUAAAUUUUAAUUAUCAAUUAUCAACGUCCAUACAAAUUUAUACACAUAAAUUUACAUAAAUUACAACUCCGCAAUAGCGUUGAUAAAAAUUAAAACGGAUACAUUAAACAAGCUAUUAUUUAUUUAUUACAACAUAUCUAAUACGGUAAUUCGACAUAAAUUUCAACAAUUUAUAAACAAAUAUAAUUUUACAAAAUCUAAAACAAAACAUAACAAGUACAAAAUUAUACAUUCAUACUACAAGUUUGUUUGAGAAAAAAUUAAAACUUGUACUUACCCUAACAAAAUACAUAUACUAAAAAAAAUUAAAUAAUAAUAAAAUUGACAUUUUAAUAUUAAAAAUAAAAAAUAUAGAUUUACUUAUAAAAAAUAACAAAACCACAAUAAAUCAGAACACGGAUAUUGUGACUACAAAAAAUAAAGAAGAAUUAUUUGUGUUGAGAAGUGAGGGAUGUUUUGGGGGUGGUUAUUUGCAGCUUGGGAGGUGAGAGUUUGUUUAGAUGCAUGUAUGUGGAAGAAGAAGGAGAAAUAGGGGAGGGGAGGUUCGACAACUUGGUGAUAUAUUAACUUUUACCGAUGGAAUCACCGACGAAAAUAUUUUAUCGAUGAUUCCAUCAGUGAUUCUGACGGUAAAGGGGUCAUGUCACUGUACGGAGAUCCUGGUUUGAAUCCCUCGGUAAUUUCGUCGGUAAAAUCACUCGCAAAAUCUUCCACGUCAAUGACCUGCUUUUUUUUCUUUCAAAAUUCUAUAUAUUUCGUUCGUAAUUCUAUCGGUAUAUACCGACAAACGUAUUCCGUCAGUAUAUACCAACGGGUUUACUGAUUGAUUUACAUCCGUCGGUAAUUAUUACCGCAAAUUACCGAUAGAAAAAUAUUGUCGAUAAUUCCGUUGGUUUUAGUCGAAUUUCUAGUUGUGAUAUUGAUUUGGUGAAAUUUGAUCGAUUCAAUCAAACCAAUCUAGUUCAUAUCUAACCAUAUUAAUAAAAAAAAGAAUGAAAUAAUAUUAUUUUAAUAAAAAUAAUUAUUCUGAAUUAACUUAAUAAAUGACUUAUAAGUUAUUAAAUAUCUGGUGCUAUAUUAAAAAAUUAACUUAAUAAAUGACUCAUAAGUUAUUGGCAAAAUACAGGUAUAAUCGGAGUACACCAUGUUGUCAAAAAGACACAAGUCUUGAAUUUUACUUUUAUUCUUGUUUUUUUUUAAAAAAUUGGAAAGGCAGGUAUACUAUCAAUAUUUUUUUUUUUUUACUUUGUAUGCUUUCCUCUGUUGCUAAUAUCCACCUCAGCAUGUACCAUCUGGUUAUAAACACCUUGGGUAAAUCAAGAUAUAAUAGAAAAACAUUCACUGUAGUUUGUCUCACAAAAAUUUCAUGGUUUUUGUCCUUUAUAACUUGAUAGAUACGAGGCAAGGAGUUAGGAGGUAGUAGCUUUUAUUUAUUUAUUCAUUUAUUUCUAACUACUGACCUUAAAAAAAUAUUGAAUUUGUAAUUCAACCAAAUAAAAUAUUGAUUUGGUGAAAUUUGAAUGAUUCAAUCAAACCAAUCUAGUUCAUAUCUGGCCAGAUUAAUAAUAAUAAAAAAUGAUAUUGACUGACUAGAUUAUUUGGUAUAACAGCAGUGCACCAUGCUGCCCAAAAGACACAGUCUUAAUUUUAUUUUUCCCUUUUUUUUUUGAAAACCGGGAAGGCAGGUAUACUAUGAUUGACUUCGGCAGUCGGUAGGAAUUAUUUUUUAAAGCAUUUUUUUUCAUGUGUAAAUAUAUUAAAUAAUUUUUUUAUUUUUUAAAUUUAUUUUAAUAUUAAUGUUUCAAAAUAAUUCAAAAAUAUUAAAAAAAUUAAUUUAAAAUAAAAAAAAAUCAAGUUUUUUUUAAAAACAUGAUUCCACUGUGAAAUUAUUAUUAUUUUUGCCGGGGAGUUGGUUGUUCUACGUAGGGUCGGAAAGGUCACGGAAUGAAGAGUUGCUGGUAACCAUUAAUCCAUGACAUGGCUUAAAUGAGUAAGGCUAAUUAAAAGUAUGUAAAACUGUAUCAAGUGACUAUUUGUAAUUAUUAUUUUUGAAUUGUUUUUACGUGGUAAUAUAAAAAAAAUUAAAAAAAUUAUUAUUGAGCUGACCUUACUAAUAAAUAGUAUUAUUUAAGGGAGCUAGCGGCUGUAACGUUCUCUUCCACAUCUCAUCUCAUUAUACAAUUCCCUAUUUUCCUUUCCCCAUCUCAUGAUCUGUGAUUUCUCUUCUUCUUUUUUUCUAAGCCAUAUAUUUUUCUAAGCCAUAUAUUCUUCUCUGAUCUGUGAUUUCUCUUCUUCUUUUUUUGGCUGAAUACUGGUCAAGCGAACCAGCACAUCUUGAAUCCAGGUUAAUUAUUUGUACUUCAUCUUGUUGGUGUUUUUGUUUUUAUAUUUGUAACUAUGGUUUGAAUCUUUAAAGGAAUCCAUGAUAAAUAAAUUGAUCUUUUUCUCGGAUUUUAUAAUCCAUGCCUUGUGGAGAGUUCAUACUAAAUCAAUACUGAAUUCAUUGUUUUCGUCUUUUCAAGAUUCUUUGCUGUUUUUAACUCCUUAUUUUAGAUUCACCCUUUUCUUUUCCAAUUAAUGGGACUGCCAUUCAUUUUUAUUCAAUAUUUUUCAACUUUUUUUUUUCUUACAAUGAUUCAAUGAAUUAACUUGAUCAAUAAUUACCUGAAUCUUUUUGAACAAAACAAUAUCCUAUUAUUUUUGUGUCUGUUUUAUAAUGUGUAACUAAGGGUUAAAAUAGAGGAAAUUGAUUUUUGAAAUUAACAAAAAUAAUCUUGCUUUCGUUUUGCUCUUCUACUUUCCUUCCCUUGCUUUCUUCAACAGUUAUCCUGCGUCUUUCUAUCUAUCAUUCUAGAGUUUUAGGAUCUCGUGUCAUAUAAAGAAUUUGAGUAUGAUAAUUUAGCUACAAAGACAAAGGAUUAAAUCAUUAACAACAACAUUUAUAUUUCAUAUUUUUCAUCCGAAUUUCUUUAACAAACAAGAAAGUCAUUCAUAUAUAUAUAUAUAUAUAUAUAUAGAUAGAUAGAUAGAUAGAUAUUCUUUUCUGAUCUGUGCUUUAUGUUCUUUUUAGACCUCAGUUUUUUAUGUCUUUUCUGAUCUUUUCUGGUCAGAUGGAAGGGUUCCAACCAUCUUUUAUGGAGGAGGUUGACAACAUGACAUGGGAUCAGCUGGGUUUUCAAUCAGAAGAAGAUACAUUCAAUAUGUCUGAGCUUCUCUCGUACGUCAUUCUUGAGCAUAUUUUAUCGGAAGAUGAUUGCUUGCAAUUUAGUUAUUCUUCAGUUUAUCCUAUCAUUCCCAAAAAAACAAUAUAAUGUCGUCACUGUCCAUGGAAGCAGGCUGCCACCGGAGGUUCCAGUCAACCAAAGCUCCAUAUCAUGCAAUGAUCAAGGUGGACAGAACAAUGUGAUCAACGAUAGUAUUCAACAAACAACUCCGUUUCCAACUUCAUUUCCUGAAACAGUGGUGAGUACUCCAAUUUGCUACAAUGCCCAUUGAAUUAGCAAGUGUUUGUAUUAUACAAAAAGUGUUUGCAUUUUUGUUUUUAAUUUCAUUUGAUAAUUUAUUUCAAUAAACUUGUUAUGGAGCUCUUGUGGUCUAAGAAGAAGAAACAAUUCAAUGUAGAGUUGAUGUUUGACUUAACAAGAUUUUGUUCAAUUUAAUUGAUUAAAAAUAAGUGAAAUUUUGACCGUCAAAUUUGAUAUUAAAAUUUUGAAGAUAAAUAUUGAAGACUGAAUUUGAUAUUAAAACUAAAAAUAAGUAGAAAGUUUUUACAAAGGUAAAUGUUAUGAAAAGAUCGAAAUUGCUAUCCAACUGGUGUGCAGAUUGGAUAGCAAAUCAAGCUAUGUUGAAGUCUUCUACUGCAGUGAAGCUCCCUCUGGUUGCUUGAAGCUAAUGCCUGAUUGUUGCGUUCCUGGGUUUUGAUAAGUGUAUGAAAGUCUAUUUUAUUGUUUUUGUGUUUUAAAAAUAUUUUUUAAAAAUUAAUUUUUUAUUUUAAAUUUAUUCUAACUCUUUUGUUUUAUCAUUCUCAAAGUCCAAACAACAACGGUACUGUCAAGAUUGUUAUGCUUAUGCCCGCAAUCGAAACAUAAUUUGUUUUUGUACUCAGAGUUAUGUUUAUUAAAAAAUCUGGUUAUUUUAAAAAAUAUAUUAAAUUAAUGUUCCAAAGUUUAGUAGUUAAGAAAUGUAUUCCAAAGUUUAGUUUACUGGUUGACUCACAUAUUAACUGAAUAACCUGAGUAAAAAAAGAAAACCACAUCAUAUUAUGAUGGUGUUUAUUAAAAAAACUAAAAUAACAAUUUUUUUUUAAUAUUAUCUUCUUAAAUAUUUUUAUUUUAAAAUUUUUUCACAUAAUUGUAGAUAAAAAAAAAAUUGUUUUAAUUUAGCAACGAUAGAGCAUCCACAAGAAAGAUAUUAUACGGUUAUUAAUUUUCAUUAAAAGAAAAGCUAAGAGACUUGGGAGAACUACUAUAUAUCCACACCUAUUUCAUAAAUUACAAUAGUACGUAAUUCAAGGUGUUUUGCCUUUUUUGUUUUGUUUUUUUAAAAUUUCUUUUUGUUUAUUUUAUAAUAGGCUGGUUAUAAUUCAGCUUUAAUUUAUUAAUUUUUAUUCUAUUUUUUUAUAAGAUUAACGUAAUUUAUAGGUUUGUUAAAAUAACUUAAAUUAUAGUUUUCAGAUUUGGUGGGAUAUUUUUUUGUUUAUUAAUUAAAAGAAAAACUAAAAGGUGUAAGAGAAUCACUAUUUACCCACACUCAUUUCAUUAUGGAUUACAAUAGUAAUCUAUAGUGUUUUGUCUUUUCUGUUUUUUUUCCUUUCCUUUCCUUUUUUUUUAUCAUUUUUAAAAAUAAGUUUUUGUCUAUUUCAUAUUUGGGCCGAAUUAGCAUAUAUAUAUAUAUAUUGGGUUAGUGUUUAAUUUUACAAGUAUAAGUAUCUAUUUUUGUUAUCAUAUUAUUAAAAAAAAAUAAUUUUUUAAAAAAGUAUAAUCCUAGUUAAAUCCAUAACCUUGUUCAUGGGUUUGAUGUGCUAGCCCAAGUUACCUGAUUCACGAGUUUGACAGGUUUAUCAAUUGAUCGAAUAUGUUUUUUUUUUUGUUUCUGGUCUUUUAAUUUUUUUAAUUGAUUUUUUUUUUAAUUUUGUCCUUCAAUAUUAGAUUGGUUUGGAAAUAGACUAAAUGAUUUAUUUUUAUUUGCUUUCUAUAGGGUUAUCAAAAUCUUAAAUAAAUAUUUAUUUUAGGGAUGAUACUCAAUUUUAUGAGCAUUUAUUUUUAUCAUAUAAUUAAAUUAAAAAAAACUUAAAAAAAUUACUAAACCCAAUAAAAUCCAUGACCCAAGUCGCGAGGGACCGGGAUCGAUCAAAUUUGUCAUUGUUUCAAUAUUUUUUUUAAAAAAAAAAAGUUGUUGUCUAGAAGUUUUUUUAAAAAAACUAAGCCAUGCUUUACUAGUUUUCUAAGUUGUAUUUAGAUAUUAAUUGAUUUAAAUUGAGUUAAUUUCCAUACAAUUUAAUUAAAAACUUAAAUUAAAUAAAAAAUUAGAUUAAAAGAUUUUAAUAUCAACUCCCCUAACCAGGUUUAAUAAUAUCGCCAACAAACUUUCUUCACUCUUAACAUUUUAUUUUUAUAUUUUAAAAAAAUUAAUCCCCUAAAAAAAACUAUGACAUAUUAUUGAGUGUAGGUUUUGUUUAUUAAGAGUAAGGAUUGAGUCUUUGACUGCAUGUAAUGGCAUCGACUGAAAACCUUUAAUCACAUGCUAUUAAUCACAUAUUUAAUCUGUUAUUGUUAGAGCACAUGCUUUUCAAAAACUUUGAAUUUUUUCUUUUUAAAUUAUUAUUUUUUUAUUAAAAAUAAAUUUUAAAAAAUAAAAAAAUUAUUAUUUUAAUUAUUUUAAAUAAAAAAUAUUUUAAAAAGAAAAGUAUAUUAUUGUUUCUCAUAUUCAUGUGUUUACAUUUUCUAGGCAUCUUCUUCUAAGCUUCAUAAUUGGGUAGGUAAAGUAGUGUUUUCAACUCCUUAUUUUAGAUUCACCCUUUUCUUUUCCAAUUAAUGGGACUGCCAUUCAUUUUUAUUCAGUAUUUUUCAACUUUUUUUUUCUUCUUACAAUGAUUCAAUGAAGUAACUUGAUCGGUAAUUACCUUACAUUAAACAAAAUAAGAAUAAUUAAAAUAUCAAAUGUGUUCAUUAAAGUAGCAGGAGAAAUCGCUAUAUAGCCAUCCGAAAAGGAAAAGUUAAAGAUUGCAGGUUUGCUGCUCAAUUCAACUAAAUAUUUUGAAGUUAGAACUCGUUUGUUUUUUUUGUUUUAAAAAUAUUUUUUAAAAAAUAAAUUUUUUUAUUUGUUUUAAAUUAAAAAUUUUUCUAUUUUUAAAUUAUUUUGAUGUGUUGAUCUCAAAAAUAAUUUUAAAAAAUUAAAAAAAUAUAUAUCAUUUUAAUAUAUUUUCAAAUAAAAAAUACUUUAAAAAACAAUUAUUAUUACAUUCUCAUAAUUUUCGCUUUAAGAGUAAACUUCACUUUUGCUCCU
rnacentral:lncRNA from 1 species